UUAUCUUCCAUUCACCCACGAGCAAUAACCAUUCUCCAACGCCAAGUAGCUUGUAAAAUCCUCGAUUAAUCUUGGCUAGCGAGCAAGCAGUGUUGAAAUUUCCCCAAUCUAAUAAUAACAAACAUCUAACAAAGCUAAACUAAUUAUACUGAAUUAUCUUACAGGACAGACCAAUGGAAGAUCUAAAAUACAAACCAAAUCUUCUACAACAAAUUGUUCUGAAAAAGUCAUCCUUGGCAAGAAAAAGAAUCCCAGAAUAAAAUGCACAAAAUUGAUAGUUAUAUGACGAAUUGGAUAGAAGAUAUGUAUUGUGUAGUAAGUAGUCGAGAAUGGCCGCAUUCACGAACGGUAAGAAUCAAAAGAAACCUUGCUUACAAUCGCGAUUAGAAUAUAUGUUCUUACACAUUUACUUUUAAACUUUAGAAAAUCAUGAAGGCAUUAAAUGUUAUCAGAAAAGACGAAUAACCCGAAAGGCAUAAAUGCAAAGGUGUAUUCUUACACACAUUUACUUUUAAGCUUUAGAAAAUCAUAAAGACAAUAAAUGUAAAGGCAUGAAUGCAAAGGUGAAUCAUUGUGAAUUUAUUAUCCAUAUGACCCUGCACAUCAGAAAAUUACUGCCGAACAAGUUUAAUAAACAAAUAUUUUUUUGGCACUAGGCCUAAAAUCUUUGAAAUGAAAAUUGGUAAUUAGAGACGAUACGUAUUGAUUAGAAAAGCAGACGAUGGUUGUGUUCAUUAUACAAAUAAUAAAAAGUGUGAAAUUGUGAAGAUAAAUAAAGAGAAUAUUUAGGAAUUGAUUGUUAAGUAUUGAUGCAGAUAGUGAAUAAAGAUUUUCUUUCUCGUGAGGUUUGUUCAAUAUGCAAAAAAAUCAUUAGGAAUUACCUUGGCUUAAACGGCGCGAAAUCAGAGAAAUCCGAGAAGCAGUUGAUGGCGGUUGGUUGAAGAUAGACGAACUGAGAGUAAGAGAGAACGAGAAGAAAACACAGAACAACGAGGAAGAAACCCCGGGCAAACCCCGUGCGGCUUCUUCCUCAAAACAAAAACGAUGCUAUUUUAUUUUUUUUCCGAUGACCUGCCAUGCAAGCGCACCUGUCAUGGCAAAGGUCGGAUGACAAAGAAACAUAAAGCUUCAUCCCCCACAAGGAGGAUGUUCUCCCGAUACCUUUCACAUCCAGAGCAACACUAAACUAAUCUUUUCCGACGCGCUCUAUAUUAAUAUACAGAGUUAAUGCUUCAAUCGAACAUGAAUAUAAGUCUCAACAGACUCUUUCAUCGCUUCUUCAAACACGAUCAACAAAGUCUUGAUUAUAUAGACAUCACACAAGACGACGAUGACAAGCGGCCACGGCUCCAGAAGGAGUUCAGAAUGGAAGAGAUCCAAGAUCCGACUUCAUUUCGUUCGUACCUGAGUAAAAAAAAAACAGAUUGCAAACCAGAAAAGCGAGCACGUGAUUUUAGAAACCUAGAUCUAAGACAAGAUUUCAAAUCAUGAAAACAGAGCAGGACGUAGAACAAGAAAAAGAAAAAACGAACCGAUCUGGAAGUUGUACCUAUCAGAUCUGGAUCAUUCACCAGACUCCGCCGCCGAAACUCGCACAGCAGAAUAAUUACAGGAACGAACAUCGGGUUCAGACGUCCACGGAUCCAUUCUCUGGCAGCGUUCAACAGAAAUCAACAAGAUCACCGUUGAGAGCUCCGAGCAUAGACGCAAAAUACAGAGAUAUGGAACCCUAAGGAAGUCCGCCGAUGAGUUGAGAAUGAGGAUACACCGUCCUUUUAUGGAGGGAAGGAGCGGGAUGGAUGGUUAAGAUGAAAGUUUGUUAAAAGAAAUCAACGGCACAGAGAGAACGACGUGGAUUAGUUAUUAUCGCUAAAACGUAAAGAAUAAAUGCGAUAAUUUCUUGGCUUAUUUUAGAAGGGAAGUUUCGACGUGUCAUCCUAACCAUUGCUUUAUCCGAAAGCAAAAGAAAAAACCAAUUUGAACACGAUAUUUGGAGAGGUUAUUAUAUUCCGAAUAAAAUAUAUAAACGUUUUAAAUAUUAUCGUUCCCUUUUAUAUUUUAUUAUUUUCGAAAGUUUAGAAUAACAACUUGCAACUUUUGACAUAUUUCCUUUAGAAUAUUUAUCUAUAUAUAUACUUCACCCCAUUCUAAUUAACAAAAUCUUAAAUAUUAUUUCUCAUUUAAAUCCUAUUAAACCGAAUUUGGUAAGCAAAUAAUAAGAGUACCAAAGAGAAAAGUAGAACAAAGGUGAAAGAAGCGAAUAAAACAAGGAUUCUUAUGCGUUUUAUAUAUUUUAAUAUAUAAAUGAAAAUGAUAUUCAGAUAAAUACAACGAUUCUUAUAAACAGCUUGUAUUGGCAUUUAAGAAAAUAAAAAAUGAAUAAAUAAAGGUAGAUCAUUCUAGAGAGUCCCAGAACAGAACAAUUUUGAAUUACAGAACCGUUCGAUCAGUGGACCGCCCUUCAAUUUUGAGUAACAGACCGCCCAAUCGGUGAACCGCCCAAUCGGUGAACCGCCCAUCUUGGCCAGAACCGCAAGUGGACCGCACUUCUUCGUCAGUAGACCCCCUUCUUCGUCAGGUCUGGCAGGGAAUUUAUUCCAAAUAUCGAAGGAGAGGGAAUUGAUAUAAAGGGUAAUUGUAAAAGUAAAAACAGCAGUAAUUAAUUAACAUAAAGCAACAUAUUUAAAAAUUGCCCAUCACUACCUAACACCUUUUCAAGACUACGCUUUACAUACAAUUUUGGUACAUAAUUAAUUGUUAUCAAGUUUACCACUUGUAAAAUAAUCAGAUCUGGACGGAUUCGAACCAUCAGAUUCUCAGAUUUCGGAAGAAAUUGAGCGCUCUGCCUUACUGAGCUUACAGAUCUAUCAAAGCAACGAAAAUUUUAAUUUGAAGGUUUCCCGAAUAAAUUUUAAUGGAAAUCGGAUCAAAACUAUACAAAAAAGUUAUGAACUUACAAAACUCUAGGUCUUUUACAAAUGACAAGGAUUUAGAAUGGGAUAAAAUAGAAAAAAUUACAAAGCAAAACACACUGAAAAGAUGGAACUUAAAUGCAAUAAAUUUUAGGAUGGAAAAUAGUUCGUUUUAUAUGCGUUCUUGAAAACUUCAUCAGAAAAGAAGGUUCAAGAAAACCUUUUUUCAUAGAAACAUAAAAUCCAAUAUUGCCUUCAAAUUCAAUUUUUGAGUGGCCCCAUUUGGGAAAAUCUUAUAUACAAUAGUCUACGACAGAAAAUAAUUCGAUAGAUUAAUCUGAAUGCAACAACUGACCGUUUGAAGUAGUAAAUAUCAACUAAUACAAAUGUUCAAUUCUGCCUCACGGACACGAAGGCGCAAAUUAAAGGCGAAAAAACAGGACUGAAUGAACAAAACCAUUUCUAACAAACUCGUUACCAUAUAUCAUCAAAAUUACAGUAUCAUCAAAAUUCAGUUAUUGCAAGAAGAAUACUAUCGAUUAUCUGAAACACAAAAUAAGAUACGGAAACGUAACGAUUGAAUCUCAUCAUAUGUCACAGUGAUUCGCUCACUAAUAUAACACGAGGAUAUCAUUAGAACUACAAAUUUACAUCAACUGUAUAUCUAUCAGGGAAUUAAUUCUAAAAUAGUUCUAAAUGAAACAGUAACAGCAGUUGAAACUACGAAACCAUGAGACUGUUACAACAGCUAAGUUGAAACUAUUAAACCAUGUGACUGUUACAACAGCUAAGUUGAAACUAUUAAACCAUGUCACUUGUUACAACAGCAGGCUCUUUCGGAAAAAAAGAUACUUCGCACAAUAUAUUAUUAACACUGUAAUGUGUCUUCAUACCAACUAAACAAGCUUCAAAAAAGCAAUUCUAAAAACCCUUGUGUAUAAAGGAUGUCAACAAUAUUAAAACUAGGAACGCAGAAAAACUUUAGAAGUGCAAGAAUCCAUAGAUAAGGCAAAAAAACUAGUAAAAUACCAUCAGAUUACAGCAUAUUUCCAAACUGAGCCGCUGAAACUGCACCCAUGUCUCCAUCAUUUGGGAAUCUUCGGUGCAAAGCAUAAGUUAACCUUCGUGGACGGCAUUCAAAGUUGCUUUCUACACAAUCUACUAUCAUCGAAACAGCCGGGAGUACGUAUACAUGACCCAAAUACAUACCCCUAAAUGGGGUUCAAUUGAUAAUACUAAUAAAAUGAUAUCAACAUACUGUUCGACAUUACAUAUCAAACUGAUAGAGAAAUUGCAACUACCUACAGUUCUAUUUGAGAAGCAUUUCAUUAUAAAAAUACAGAAUAUAGGAUAAAAAAUUAAAUGGUUUAUAUUAUUAUCAAGCUCGCUUCAUUGUGAUAGGGAAAAGAAAUAGAACAGUAUUAUGAACACAGUAUAACUUAAUGUAAAUAAUUUUAUACAACUUAAAUAUGAUAUGAAUAUGGCGACGUGGGUUACAGUUCAAAAUGUAAAAAUUUGUUGCAUGUGAAACCUUUACUUUACCUUUGCUAAGACUGUAGAAAUGACAUGAAACUCCUCAUAUUGCAAAAACUGUCAUUCGAAAAUCCCCAAAAGAUAGCAUUACUAUGGAUUCAAAACAAGUUCGAAAAACGAUACUAAGACCGAAAACGCAUUUAUGUUCACGACAAACAUGAAGUACGAACUAGAAUCUUUCUUGUUAUCCAUACCGGUUUUUUCCUUACGAAUUUAAAUUGUAGGAUUGCUUUUUUUGUUACGAGUCUGAAAUGAAAAGUCGAGUACCUUUGGAUGUCGCGAUUUGGAUCAGGUCAUACGCUAUGACCAUAGGUGUGAUUCUGUCGGUUGAAGUUGCAGGAGAGAAAGAGAGCAAGAGGGAAAACAGACCACAGUGAGGGGAAGACCCCGGGCAAUCCCCGUGCAAUCCCCCCUCAAAACCAAAACAUACUAUUUUUUUUAUUAUGAAUGACCUGCCAUGCAAGCGCACCUGUCAUGGCAAAGGCCGGAUGACAAAGAGCUACCAGAAUUCAUCCACCUCAAAAAAGAGGAUAAAUACCGAUAUCUUUUACAUCCACAAUCACUCAUCUACUCUUUCCCAUGCUUUCAUAAUUAUGAUACAAGAUGAUACAGCUUCCAUCGAAAAUUUGUCCACAGAUCUGCUACAUCGAAUCAACGAACAAGUUUCAGACGAGAUCCACUACAUCUACAGCACCGUGCCGCUUCAUCUCCAGCUUCGACACCACGCUUAAUCGCCUUCAUGAACAUCCACCACCGACUUUGAUUCCAUACCUGUUCGAAUAGAUCGAGACGCCUUUCGUUGCAUAAUAAUUAAACAAAUAACCAAUAUCAAGAAUCAAACCCGGAUUUCCCCGUUCUGGAACGAUACUUGCUCAAACGUCGUAGAAAAGGAUGUAGCACCAUGAAAGAAAAUAAAGAACAAUAUAACAAUCCAAAAAAUCGUCGUGAGAACAUGAUCCAAAAAGAAGAGAAGUCAGAUCUGGUGUUGAACCUGUCAGAACAAAAAAGAAAUGAACAAAAUCCGUCACCGGAGGCUAGAUCGGGAAGAAACCGCAAUCACCGUGCAGAUCUACGACCACAAAACAACCAAGAACCGCAGUCAAAACAGGAACGGAUAGGAUAAGAAAUCAGAUGAUGUUGAGCUGGUCUGAAUCAGAAUAAACAACCGAAACCUGUCACCAGAGACCGAAUCGACAAGAAACCACGAUCAACGUGUAGAUCUACAAAAGAUCUAUCGAUCUACGAACUUCGAAACAUCGACAGAGUGGAAGACGGAGCUAGAUCUGCGAAAAAUGAAAUCAAAGAAACUUGGAAAGAUAGGGUUUCCAUCGGAGGCAGAUGGAAGAAAUGAAAGCACUCUUAUCGUUUUAAAGGAGAAGCAGAUGAAAUGAACGGCUAUGAUUGAGAAGUGCCGGAAACGAUCGACGGUUGAGAUUAAUUUACGUGUUUGAAUUAGUAAUCGUUAAGGCGGUGGAAUAAAUAGGAAAGUACCGAUACGUUGGUAAAGGGUUGGAUGGGAAAUUUCAGACCUAAUUACGUUUUUUUUUUUUUCUUUUUUAAAGAGAACAGCUAAUUGCUUUGGUGUCAAGAAACUGAGCGACGAAAUUAAGAAGCCAUUGGAAAAUAAUAAAUUUAAUAUGAUAUUUAUAUAAAGAAAUUUGUUUCAAAGUUUAAUAUGGUUUGAAAAAUAUUUGUGUAUUAUGCUGAAUUAUUCAAAAUCUUUGCCCAAGGUUUCAUUUCUUUUUUCCUUUUGAAUGUAUUUGAAAUAAUUAAUAGUGGUUUGUAUGUAGAAAACGUGUUGGUAGGAAUUCUAUAAAAAAGAAGGUGUUAGUACAAAGCAUUUUAAUUUGUAUUUUAUAAUUGGUAAGCUGUUUGUUUUAUAAGAAUUAUCACAGGCAAGCUAGAUUUAUUUUUGUUCUUUUAGGAAAAUCUGUAUGGUGAUUUUAGGAAAAUCUGUGUGGUGAUUUAAUUUUGAAAAUAUGAUAGAGUAAAAUUUUCAAUUCAUAAACUCAUAUUAUUGUCUAUCAAUGUACUAUAGACACGAUAGAAGUUUAUUCAUAUCUAUUAAUAAUAUAAUCUAAAAGUUUGAUAUAUUUUGUAAAUAGAUUGUAGAGUUCUCAUCGUCAAAAUGUAUGUAUGCAUUAUGAAAUGAUUAUAAAUAUAUUUAAUAGUUUUAAUUGUGUUUGGUGUUGGUGUUGGUGUUGGUGAAUUUUAGUCUACUAAAGAUAAUCUAUGGAAGAGCCUAAGCAAGCCAAUAAGAGCUCGGUGGACCCAUGAAGUGAGUCUAGACAAACUUAGUGGUAGCUCGAUGGUUUUAUUGGGCAAGCCUAAUGAGAGCUCGGUGCGCCCACGAAGUGAGGCUAAACAAGGUUAAUGGUAGCUCGAUGUCCCAUGAGGUGAGCUAAGCAAAACUAAUGAGAGCUCGAUAGACUUAUGUAGUGAGGCUAAGCGAUUUUAGUGAGGGCUCGUUGGACUCAUAAAGUAAGCUCAAAUGAGUUUAGGAGAGAGCUUCACCACUCGAGGAAAAGCAAAAACAACUCCGUGAAACCCUUAAGGUAUGCUAAAAAAAAACUUAAUAUGAGCACCCAUAAAGGAGAGCUUAAAUAGAUUCAUGAAAUAUACACAAUAGAAACUUAAAUAUUGAACCUGGGAAAAGCUCAAUAGACCUAUAAGGUGAGCUAAAAAUAAAAAACUCAAAGCAUAGAGAAAACUCGAGAGAAGCACUCAUGGGGAAAAGCCCAUACAACUCCAUGGGACACGUAAGGUAAUUAGCUCAACAAAAGUAAGCUCGUGGCUAGGAGCUAGAAGAGAGCUCAACGAAACGUACAAGAGACAUUAUUGAGCGAAGCUAUAUUGAGCGAAGCUAUAGGAGAAGAACCUACUAGAAAUAGCCUAACUUCUUAAGAUUUGAAGCUCAUCAAAGGACCCACAAGAGAGAGCUUAACCUUAUAAGAGGGGGAAGAACUACAAAGAUAGCCUAACCUCAUGAGAGAAGGAUGACGCACUAUUGCAAUACUAGGAGAGCUCACAAAGGACCCAAGGAGGAAGACCUCUAAGCCAUUGAAUAUGAAACUGUUCGAAACCUAAACGGACAAGUAUCAUACUUGAAGUUGUUGGGAUCGUUCAUGGGCAUGCCCCAAUGGUAGUGUAAUUGUAUAUUGAUCAUCAACACAAUAUUUUUAGAAGUUUAAAAGGCACAAUCACGAUCCAAACAUCCAUUACAAAUCACCUUAUUUAUAUAAACAAUCAAAGUAUGUUCAAUUACAUCUAAAUAUUCUACUGUCUUCAUUGUUGUCUAGUCACUAAAAAAUACAAUACUAACUUAAAGCAUUAGAGUCUGUGUGGCUAGACUCCACACCCACACUUAUUUUCUUUUGUCUUGAAAGCACUCGGACAAAUCUCCUCGCAAAGCAAAAUUUAAAGUUUUGAUCUUUUUUUCUUUAGCAUCAACAACUAUUAAAUACAUUUAUUUUGAAUUUUAUAAAAUAGUAGUGAGUACAAACAUAUUUAAAUAUGCUAUAUAGAAACAAAAAUUAAUUGACAUACUGUUUAGCUUGUUUAAGUGUCCUAUUGAAAACAUGUUAAAACCAUUGGAGGAGUUUAAUAAUAGCACCUUUAUCUUUUAAUUGAUUGUGAUAUAAGUUCUUUCAGUUGUUAGUAUUUUUCUGAUAAAUAUUUUUCUUAAUAAAUAUAUGGAUUAUCAGCCUACUUGAAUUUGCAACAUUCGAUGGGUAGCAAGCUUGCCCUCUAAGAUACUAAACAAAGGACUGGGAGCCGUCGAAUCGAUAUUUAUAGUGACAAUUAUCCAUAGUCUUAUUUGGUGAGGUGCAUUGAAACAAGUCUAUGCUUUUUUAGUUCUCUGCCACUUUAUUUAUUUAUUUAUUUAAAAAAAAAAUACGAAGUUAAGAGUUGGUACAAUGUAAAAGACAACAUUUGUUUCUCGUGGCGUGUUUGUCUCAACUCUAUCUCAAUAUAGAGUGCUUUGAAUUACUAUCUCAAUAUAGAGUGCUUUGAAUUAUGGAGAUAGAUUGUAAUAUCAUCGCUUUGUGAAUACUUCAUCGGAAAGAAGAUAGGAAAUUAAUUUUUUUUAGGUUAUUUGGCAAUGAAUAUUAGGUUCUCUAUCUUUUUUUAUAUGUAACUUAUUCUCAACUUGUUGUAAAGUUUAAGUAAAAAAAGAUUGUGUUGUGCUCUAUACUUUUUGUCUCGUAGAAUUAUUUGUAUGUCUUCUAAAGCAACUUCACGAGACAAACGAAUAACUUUAUGAGACAACUAGCAGUUAGCACAAUGCAAGCUAGAACGUUACGAGACAAAAAUAUAAACUUUUGGUCUUACCUUUGGCUUAUUUCUCAUAAAAAAUUUCAUUUUUGAGUUUCUUCCUCCCAUUUAUUGGAGUAAUUAAUACAAGAUCAUGUUUGUAAUGUGGCAUGAACGAGUAAUUAUUAUAGAGCUAAGGAUUGGGAUUCGAGAUAGCUUGAUUUUCAAGAAAAAGUUGAAUGGGUGGUUUAAUAUGGUAGGUCAUGUGUUCAAGCCUCUACAUCGUCGUUUCCUUCCCAAUUAAAAUUUAUUUCCACUUGUUGGUCCUUCAAAUAUUUUAAGCCCACAGAUGAGAAAUGGUGUUAGUAAUAUAUAAUUAAAUUUGUUUUCAACAUCUUAAGCUUUUGGAUGAAUUAGUUGUUUAAUACAUAAUAUAAAGUAUUUUAAAAGAUUCAAGAUUGGAUUGAUUUUAAAAUAUAUUGAAUUCGUGAACAUGUUACGAGAAAAUUUGAAAUUCUAGGAAGACACAAAGAUUGUCAUGCUUGUGAUCGUAUUUUGUUUUCACUAACAAAUAUUUUUACUAAACUCGAUUAUGUUUAAAAAAUAUCUUUUAAUUUUGACACUUUGUUACAAAAAUACUUGUAUUUUUUCGAGAGUUGCAAUAUUGAUCUUUGGUAGAUGUUCCAAAUUAGAUUAGUGUUGAUCUUUCAUAAAAAAAGCCAAAACUAUCUUUGGAUUAAAACAUCGAUUUAGUUCCCAUUUUUAUCCAUCGUUUUAACAAAUCUUCAACCUUUUGAAAACAAUUUCAUUAAACUUGAGGUCCUUAAGUCGGCUAAAAUGUGGUUUUAAAUACCAUUAAAUAAAUUCAUUUGUAUAAAGUCAUUUUUAUUGACAAGUUGGUUGUUGUUUCCAAAGAUCCAACAUGAAAAACACCCGCGACCUUCACAAUGAUGAUAAACUUGUAACUCAAUGAAAGAUAUGAAGAAGGAUUUGGACACCGAUAUCUUUCUAAUCGAAACACCUCUUAUAGGAUAAUGAAAGGCUCUUCUAUCAUAGUGUAAUAGUAAUAAGAUAGCAUAAGUCCAACUUAGGGUCUACAAAUGGGUGUCAUAAAUAUAUUGUACUGAUUCUUGAGCCAACUGAAUUGAAACACGUGUUUAACAGGCUCUACCCAUCAAAUGGAUAGACUCAAUCUUCACCCAGGCCAAAGUUGAGUAGGCAUUAUUGGGUCAUUUUAUAUCACGUUCGAUUUUUUUCUUCCUAUUUUGAUAGUGUAGUAUGUGAACUCGCUUGAAACUAACUAUGCUCUAGUUAUCUCAACCGACUCAUAACAUUAGUUGUUUAAAACAAUAUAAUAAACUAUCAACCUAACCAACCAAACAUAACUAAUAAUCAUAGAAUAUGUGGUAUCAACCUUCAAUCUCCCACCAUGUUAAUUAAAAGAAAACAAUGACAACAAACUAAUUGUUGGCUAACCAAUUUCUUCUUCUGAAAUAAAUCCAUCACUUUCAAAAAUAGAGAGAAGUGGAAGAGUUUCAAAAUCUUUUUUGUUGGAUAAGAUGUGGGCUUGGCAUGGAUUUGGCUGGCUAAGCCCACUCCUUAUUUGGGCCUUCAAUUUAGCUUAAUCAUCCAUAACCAACAAAUUCACGAGUUUCCCCCCAUUUAGAAAUAAAUAAAUAAAAUUUGGGAUAUAUAACAUAAACACAAAAUUCAAUUAUGAGAAACGAGUAAAGUGAAUAAAUUUGCAAAAGUAAUUGGUAGGAUAUUGGGAGAUACUGAAUUUUAACUAUUGACCUAAUAGACGAUGACAUUGGUCUUAAUUGUCAACGUAUUUUCUCACAUUGAUAUGUAGUCGAAGAAUGAUCGUCAUACUCACGAGUAUCUCUUAGUCAAGAGACUGACAAACUUUUGUUGUUGAUUUUCACAUUGAAACAUGUAUUUACAUUAUAUUUUAAACAAAACUAUUGAAUUACAUAUUUCGAGACACACAAUAAUAUCUUAAUCGUUGUCCAAUUCUCGAAAGUUCGAAGAUAGUUUAGUUUUAUUAAAUUUAAUUGUUGAAUUCUUCUUGCAGCAUAAUUUUUUAGAAUCAUACAUGUUUGAUAUCAACAACCUUCAUCUUUCACUACUACUACACUAAGCUUCUUUACAAAUACAACUUACAUAGGGAAGGUCAUCAGAGAAAAAAGUAGGUUGAGAUAUCAUUUUAUAUUGCCAAAACCAUUUAUAAUCUCAAUAUUGACUUGAAAGUUAUAGUGUACAAACUAGAGUAUUAUUAGUCUAAUUUCAAUAUAGAAAUCUAACAUGUGCGAACUCUUUUUUAAUAACUUAUAUGCACUAUUUUCUUGAUCAAUUAUUUUAUGGAAGUAACACAUUUAUUUUCUUUUGUCCACACUGUUUUAAAAAAUAUUAGUAUUUCUUAGAUUGAUAUUAAUAUAAGUUAAUCUUAACAGAAAUUGAUUAGCAGAAUGUAAAUAUAAAGUAUUGUCUAAUUAAUUAGAUUAAAAAAAAAAAAAAACAGGAAUCUGCACAACCUAAUAUUUAUAAUAAAAUAAAUGAAAUAUAAAGAGCGCAUAAUUCUUGCCUCUUGGCGCCUACAAUUUCCUUCCCCUAAAUGAAUAGAUUGUUCAAAAUUUACAAUAUAAUAAUACCAAUCGGAAAGCAACUUAGAGAGGGAAUUACAAAAAUAUGAACCAAACCAAGCGAAAUUAGAACCCCAAAAAUGGGUCUAUCAACAGGUUGGUAAUGAAUAAUCCUACUGAUUGCACAAAUUAAGGUUUAAAAUCAAAGAUUAAGCGGCCAUUGUUGAUGUUGUUGUUUUUUUCUUUUUUUCUUCUCAGAUUUUGAACAGAUGAGCUUUGAAAUUUGAUGUUUGAUUCACUGUUUUACAGUUCCAUUCCACACCAGUGAAAAAGAUCUGGUUGAUUGAAACUGAUUACUACCACCAAAUACAACGAAAAGAAGAAGAAGAAGAAGAAGAAAUUUGUAAGGGAAGAUCAACGCCAGGAAGAUACAGUUAAGAGAGGAACGUCGUUCCAUGCCAGAGAAAGAAAUUCCGGCGCCGAUUCGAUCAGUGUGUAGAGAGAACUGUAAUUGUAGUUCCAUAGAAGUAUUUUCGCCUGACUAAUGGCGUAAUGGCUGAGUGCUACAGGUUCGAAUCCGGUGUUUUCCAUCAAAUUCUUCCAUUGUUCUUUAUCUUCCAUGCGUACUCUUCUUUCGCGUCUUGAAUCUUCUACGGUUCCAACCACGCCGGCGAUUCGACGGCCGAGUAACAGUCUUUCUAACUGAAGUCUUUCUGGUGAGUUUCGAGGCAAGUUCGGCUCUAGCGAUUCGAAAAUGGCGGAGUAGAAUUUGAGAGCGUUCUUGAAACGAUUGUAGAAUCCGUUCCGGUUCAAACUCGCUUCAUACUCACCGAGAGUCACUAUAUGAGGACUCAACGAUUUUGCUAAUCGGAGAGCAUUAUGAACUCCGGUUGGAUUCUCAUCCAGGAGAUUGUACAAUUGAAGCAUGAAAUUCACGGCCAAUACCUCGUCUGAUUGAACGCUGAAGCUCGAUUCCUUCAGGUUUUCAAUCGGCGUUAGAAUCGGUUGGAACUCGAAAUUCAAUUCCAGAAGCUUUGCGAACUCGGAGAGUCUAUUACCAGUGGCGUAUAGAGACGCUGCCGGUGAGUCUCCGAGCGACGGCGCUGGUAUUCCGGAGAUACGAACCCUGACAGGUUUUCCGGUGGCGCGCGUUGCCAAAGCCUGCAGAAGCGCCGCCCAUUGAACGCCUUGAACAAUUCCGAAAUCGACAAUGUGAAUUUUACUGGCUCUCUCUGUAACUUCCAGAAUUGCUUGGUUGGCCGUUAGAUGCGCGAACUUAGAGUAAGGACAGGCAUCGUUCAGAGCUUUGUAAGAGAGCAAGAAAUCUUCAGAAUUAGCAUCGCUCUCAGUUGAAUCCAAGCAAUUCUUCAUCGGCGUCGAGGACAAUCUCUUCCGAAGAGCAUCACCAAAGUAAAACCCCACUCGCUCAAUCGGAUCUCCAUCUUCUCGUAAAGAUUUACUAAUCCGAUUAAGAGUUUUCGCUGCACGGUUAGGCUCAGAAUCACAAAGCCGCGCACAAUCAAGCAACACUUUCAGAACCGGCGACGAUGACUCGACUUCUAAUGCACUCGAUGAGCCUUCAACAACAUCAUUCUUCAACGGACUCUCCGCCGGUGGAUUCGUUACUCUCUCCUCCUUCACCAAUGGAGGACACGACGGCCACGGAGGCGGAACACUAUUAAUCUUGUACGAACUUUCCAGAACAACAGCUGACGGCGGAGAGCCAUUAAAUGGAUCUGCACCAUAAAGACCAAACUCACCAUAACCUUCACAACCAGACGGCAAAGUGGAGCUAUCCGUGGAAUCUCCACCGCCGACUAAACUAUCCAUCCACUCAUCAGAUUCAAACUCUCCACCAGCACCACUAAAAUUAGGGAAGAAUCGAAAUCCGGCAGAAGGGUGGUCCAAAUUAGGAAAAUGAAAAGAAGGGUCGGAGGAAUCAGGGGGUGCGGCGACAUGAAAAGGGUCAGAGAAGGAAGAGGAAGAAAUCCCAAAAGAGAAAUUAGGAGAAGAAGAAGAAGAAGCCAUAGUUGAGGAAGGGUUGAUGUUAUUAGUCCAAGGAAGAAUAGAAAAAGGGGAAAGUGGAGAAAGAUGGUGUUGCUGUUGGUCUUGCUGUUGUUUUUGGUUGAUGAGUUGUUGAGCAAUAGCCAUUAGAUUACCACUGUCUGCGCACAUAUACGCCAUUAAAUCAGAAGAAGCAGAGAGAAAAAAGUGGGAUGCGAGUCACAUUACCAGAAGAAGAAAGAUGAAGAAGAAAAUGAGGAAACAAAGAGAGUAUGGAGAAAGAGAGGAAAUAAAUGGAGGAAACAAAAGAACAGAGUGUGGACCAGAGGUUGAAGGAGAAGAGGAAGAAGCAUAGAGAGAGAGAGGGAGUGUGGAAAUGAGAUAUGGAAUGGUAGAAAUAAUAAAAAGGUGUGAGUGAGUGUAGAGGAUAGUGAGUCAAGGCCGUUGAAGGACGAAAGGGGAUGGACCCCAGUUUUCCCAUUCAGAACAAAAUUGUAAGAGGACAGAGAGAGUGUGAGAAAGAGAUUUUUGGGUACUCUUUUAGGCCCCAAUUUUGCCUCUUUUUUUUUUUUUUUUCUUUCUUUCUUUUUUCCCACCCUAAAAUCCAAAAACUACUAUUUUCGAAAUUACUACCCUUUCUCAAUUUCAAAUAUCGAUUCACAUCAAUCAUGUUGUUUGUUACUUAACAUCAUUGUUCCUUGAAUGGUGAAAAUCAUAUUUUUAUCAUAGGGUAAAAAUUAGAAAACAUAUAAAUUAAGUAAUAAGGUGUUUCUAAUAUAAACAAUCCCAAUUUAGAGGUGGGAUCUAAUUUUUUUUUUAUGAAUUUUAACUUGUCGUGGGAUCUAAUUUUGUUAUGGAUGAAUUUUAACUUGAGAAACAAGUAAAGAAAAAAAAAGAAACCUUACCAAAGUGAAAUGAAUUCAAGACCAACCGAAGUUCAAUUAGGACUACGAAUUAUUGUUAUUAUUAUUUAUUUUUGUAGAUUUUAAAACUCUAUAUCUCACCACAAUCGUGUAUUAAGAUGCAAAUGUUCCAGUGAGUAUCUUUAGCCUAUAAAAAUCUAUACAAAAUCAUGUCAAUCUUUUUAACUUUGUUACAUAGAUAUUAGAACUUUUGAAUCAACAAGCAAACAUAAAUUUAAAUUUUAAAUUCUGUAGUUUUGCAUGUGAUUGGGUUGGAAAUAAAUUUACAGUUAAAGGGAAGUACAAAUUUGAUGAAUUAGUUAAUAAGCCAAUUUUUAUUUAGAAAAAAAUCAGCUUUGUGGGAGUGAGAAAGAAGCUGGAAAUAGAAUAAAUAAAAAGUUAAAAAUACAACGUUUGGAUUCAAAAUAAUAAACUUUAUAGCAACAUUUUAAAAAGAAAUUACAAGUAAAUAAAUUGGAUGGCAAAUAUUAAGUUAUCACAUAAGAGUUCAUCUCUACUAGUCAAUCAUUAUUAGAAUAUUUAUAAUUUUUUUAAAAUAAUUAUAUAUGCUUAAUUAUUAUUUUAAAAAUUAGUAUCUAUUUUAAUUACCAUUCAAUAAAUAUCUAGCAGUAAUAUAACGAAAAAGAGAGAGAGAAAAAAAGUAGUCCAAUCCUUGUCAGGGCAAGCUGUGUGUGCGGCUAGGUUACGUGGCAGUGAUGCGAUGGUGGGCCUUCAUUGGCCGAUAAGACAACACCAACUCAUCAACGUCCACAUUCCACUUUUUUCACUUUCUUUCUUUUUAUUAUCAUCUUUGGUUUUCUUUUUUCUCAAAAAAACAUUUAUUAUUAUAAUUUUCAUCAUUUUCAUCAUCUCACUUAUGUACAUCAAAUUAAACCAAAUAAGGGCACAGAAUUGUGUUAAUAUACGGUUUUCUUCUACCCGCAUUUGUGUCAUGAUAAACAAAUAUAAUAAAUUUCGACUAUAUUUUUGUAAUAUUUAUAAUUUAAUAAAUAUAACGACUUAAUAUUUAAAUUUGGAUUUGUUAUUUUGUAUCCUGACUCUCAAAUAUACUAUUGCAAAUGAUAAAAUAUAAUGAUUAAACUAAGACUCAUUAAAGUCGAGUGAGUGAACUAUUACAAACUAAAAUUUGAUUUUUAACCUAAUUUUUCUAAUUUGUUUCCCCUAUUGGUGGGAUCCAUGAUGCUGACCUAAGACCAUGGGCCCAAUUCAUUACCAUAUUUACGACACGUCGAUUUAGGGGGAAAUGGUGUCCGCUUCUUCUUGAUGUCGACCUUCUUCUUUCUCUCACACUAAACGACAUCAAAUCUUCACCAUCCACUUCUAAUCUUUUUAUGCAAUAGUUCAAAAGAUGAAAAAGCCAACAAUCUCACUGCAGAUAUGGUUUCAUUGGCUAAAACUUAAAGGCAUUUGGCAAUUUUUCUUUUCUAUAAGCAAUUCUAUUUCAACUUCUUUAGCUAUGUAGGUGAAGGUAAUUAAAUUUUACCAUGAACUUUUCAUUUUAUAAAACUCAACUUUAGACUUUUAAAAACGUUGGGUAAAUUUCAUCUUUACGUCCCUUUAUGCUACUUUAUCUUUUUUCUGUUCCACCAAAUGUAAUGCAGAAUCUUAUCUUACUUCAAACCUUAAACUCACUAAUUGUAAAUAAUAAUAAUAAUAAUAAUAAUAAAGUUAGUGCAGUAUAUCAAUUUUAAACAUUUCAAAUCUUUCAAAUAAAACAAAAACUAUAAUUUUAUCCUUGAAAUACGAUCAAUUUCAUGCUAGGUAUUUACUUUAUAAUUCAACAAAUAUAUGAGAAUAUAUUUGUUUUAACAAUCAUUUAAAAAAAUAUAUACUAAAAAGCCUUCACUCUAACACUAAACAACAUCAAAUCUUCAUUAUCUCCUUACAAAACUAAAAAAAGGAAUCGCAAAUAAACCUGAAUAUGGUUUGAUUGAUAGUGACAUUAAUAAUGUUUUUUAACUUGUCAUAUCUAUCCUUAACUGUGGAAAAAAAGAGAAGAAAUUUGCAGUAAAAAGAAUGGAGGAAGGGAAAAGAAAUUGUUGUAAAGGUGUAAAGAAGUUUGAUUUUAAUUUGAUUAAUUGAUUUUGGGAAGAAGGAUAAAGAAAAGGAGGAGAGGGGAGAGAGAAAACUUUAUGGGCGGUAAGUGGGCCUUGGUGGGGCCUGAAUGGGCCGGGAAGGAAGGGAAAAGGGCCGAUGUGGGUAGGGCCACAUGAGUGAUCAUCGACCAACCGAAAUGGGACAGCUCGAAAAAGCAACGGUGGAGGGCACUCCCCCACAGUCGCACUUUGACGGGUUCAUAACCAAAGUGAACCCUAAUUCCACGUCGCCAAAUUAACUCAAAUAUAUAUAUAGUUGAAGAAAAGAAAAGAAAAGAAAAACCAUUUUCCAUUUCGAGUGGCUCUCCCACCCAUAUCCAGUCAACUCAUCAAAUCAACAAAAUUACAAAAACUACUCUUAAACUAUUACAAUUGCUGGAAUUACAUAAAUAGCUCGAAAAUGCUGUAAAGUUAAUGUAAACAAAACUCUAAGAUUAUGAUUUAUUUAUUUUUUCAAUUUAUGUAAAGGUGGGUAUUACUAAUUAGAAUAUUUCAGUUUAGAAAAUCUAAUCUACCUAAUCAAAUUUCGAUCCUUAACUUGAUUACUCCGUCAAUAGUUGAGUAAGUUGGAAAGAAUCAUUGAAGCAAUUACCGUUUAAAGGUAAUUUUGCAAUUUUCAAAGCAACCAAAUGAGUUUUAGAAACAUGGUUCGAGUCCGAUUGUAGGCUUGAAGAAGUAAUUACUGAAAUUAAUAAUAUGUUUGAUUGAUGGUAAAAGGAUUAAAAUCACUUCAUAAGUUUGAGACUUGAAUGGUAAAGUAUUUAGAAUUGUAGUUUAAAAUAAUUUGCAAAAGAAAGAAAAGAAAAGAAAAGAAAAGAUUUUCCCUUUGAAUUACUUACCACUAAGUUUGGCUGCUGAAUAUUGCCUGUCCAAUAUGGGAUCUCCUCCACUUAGUGCUAAACACUAUAACCAUAUCAAAGCUUCGGAAAUCUCAAUAAAGAGAAGAGGUCCAAUUGCUUGUAAUAAUUGUUUGCUAAAUGAUUGAGUUUUGGGAGAUGGGGUUCCAAUUAAAGCCUUUAUUAAUUAAUCAACAAUAUUAGAAAAGACUGGUAAAUGUGAAGGGAGGUUUGUGAGAUUUGUUAAAGAAGAAAAAAAAGGAAGAGUGGUUUAGUGUAAUAGGGAAAUUUAAAAUGUAAUAAAAUGGCAGGAAAAGAGGAGAGAUUAGACAAGAAAUCAAAGCAAUCAAUUCAAAGGUGAUCUUUACUUUGUUAUUAAAUUUAGGAAGACCCCACUUUUGUACACCUUAUCUAAAGAAACUUUUUUCCCCCAUUUUUUCUUUUUCUCCUCUUUCUUUUGUUUCAAUUUUUGGAUUUCUAUUCAACUUUGGAGCUACUUUGAUCCGUGUUCACGCGUUGGAUUGAUUUAACGAUUUAACUUUAAUCAAAUUACAAAUUUAAUCUCUAAAUUUAUAUUAAACACUUAAACAAGUUUAAAAGUUAAAGAGACCAACUAAUCACUCAAAACUUAAUUUUAAUUUUAUAAAAUCAAAACUUUAAUCUUAGUAGUCUAAUCUUGCUUUUGUUUUUCUAUGUUCAAGAAUUGAAAGUUGCAAAUUCAAAACGUCUUAGGUUAGAUGCUUUGCAAAUGUCAAUCUAUAUGUUGUUUUCGCCGUUAUCUAAACUUCAUGUAUAUGUUUUUUCCGAGCACAUUUCCAUUGACAUUAGUUUGCAACAUUGGGUUUAUGGAAAGGCAAACAUAAAUAGAUUAAACGCAGUUCAAAUGAACAAGAGAAGGAGAUCAAAAUCGAAGAAGAACAAAUAUCAAUUUGAUCAUUUAGAUGAAUAAUGAUUUAUACAAAGAAUGGAUUAUUUGUUGAUUCAAUUUCAAUUUAUCUAAUUGAUAACUGUUAACCUAUUCGACUCAUCGUUUAUCAAUUCAGUCAAUUUUAGAGAGUACCGAAGUUGACUCUCAAGAAAAACAAUAAACCUUUCAUUUUCCCCCCCUGAAAUCUCCCAAGCAAGUACAAGGACAUUUGAAACCAAUUUUAAUCACUUUUGUUUUAUUCUAAAUCACUUUAAAAACGUUUUUUUUUAAAAUUAUUUAAAAGACAUUUGAAACCAAUUUUAAUCACUUUUUCUUUUAUUCUAAAUCACUUAAAAAAGUUCUUUAAGUAUAUAAAAUCAAUUUAGUGUUUGAUUUCAUACCGUAGAAUUUUAAACACCCAACUAUCAUAUCAUUAAAAAGGAUAUAUUUCGGUGUAAUUUGAACCUGAAUUUAAUUCAACUUUUCAAGUGUAUAAUUUAAAAAAUCAGAGUGCUUUAUAACCAUAAAAUUGCCUUUUAAAACACUUACAAAGUCUAUUUUAAAUCUAUCAAAAGAAUUCAAAUAAAAACAACAUUUUUGAAGAAAAAGAAAUGCAAUAAUCAAUCCAAACGAACUUUAUUUGUUUAUUUAUAGAGAAGCUCACUACAGGCCAUCCACAGAACUUGAGAUAUUAUGUAGCCAAUUGAGCCUUCGUGACAAUAACACAGAAAACCCAAGAACGCUAAUGUGACAUAUAAAGGACUCCGAUUCGUGUGAUUCAACAUAAAUAUCUACAACUCAUCAAUGAGUGGUUCACAUAAAACCAUAGGUAUAAUAAUGUGGAAGGUAUUGGUAUUUCAAGUCAAAUCUUCAAUGGAAAUGCUAUAGGAGAGAAGCAACGACUACUUCGUUGAAAAUUAGUACUAAAAUAUAAAACCCAAAGUGGGAGAAACUGUCACUCCAUAAGAUCAAAUAAACCACUCAUAACCUUCUUUUUUCUCCUUCUAAAUUCAUCAAUGCAAUCAAAUGAUAAUUUUUUCUCAUCAUUGUAGCAGAAGAAAAAAAAUGCUAAACAAGACAUCCCAACUUGGCAGAUUUGAUAAAUCCAACUACAAAUCAAUCAUAAACAAUGGUGCUGAAAACUAUUGGUAUUUGACAUUUGGGUUUAGGUACUUAUGACUUGAACCGACGAUUUAGGACUCAGAUUGAUUGAUACUUCUAAACCAACUACGAUAUCGUUGGUAUAUUUGUAACUAUGCAAUCACUAUUAAUGAAAAUUUUCAAUGAAGAAUUAACAAGAUUUGGAAAAACUCGAAAAUGUUUACCUCAAAACACUUUAUUGAGUGAAAAAAGAGAAAUUUCCUACUUGAAUUUGAUACAUGGUUGCAGCUCAUAAACGUCCAUCUGCUUUCAAAUCAGUAAUAUCAUGUGGUAGGCUAUGGCAAAGAAAAAGACAGAAUAUAUAAAAAGACAAGGCAUCUUUGGCCCACAGCUCGAAUUUAUGCUUGAGCUCAAUGAUAUAAUUUACUUGUAAGCAUAAAAACGACCUGCUUAAAAUCGGAGACACAACUGAAUGUAAAUAAUUACCGUCCACAUAGCUUACCUAUGGUGAAUUACUGUAGUCUUCUUCCGUCCAUUAUUGUAAAUUAAAUCACCUGAAGCUUUGAUGAUAAAAUCAUCAGUAUACACGAGCCUUGGGAGGGAAUGUUUCGAUCUCGUCGUCCAAUGUGUUCAUAUGCACAGGCCUAUAGUCCAGUCUGACCUUCUCAUUUUCCCAGAAUCUGCAAAUUCAAUCACAAGCAUAGAGCAGAUGUUAAUUGAUUGAUGCCAAACGAAUAGAUAAGUAAAAGAGAUUUAUUUCAGUUAUCCUAGUUGAGCUCGAUGGCAAUGAUGGACCAGAAGCCCCAAUAUGUUAAAAGGUGGCUGAGAAUAAAAAGUGGUUUUAAUAACUAAAAAGGGAAUCUUUAAUUAUUUUGAAGUGUCAGACACGAGAGUUACCCUAGUGUGUGCUUCAUCCAGUUCUCAUCGUCUCUUUUCUGCAUAAUCAGAGCUUACAAAGUUAACAUACUAUAUAGUGUUGUGUUACUAUUAAUAAUAGAAAUAAAUAAAACUGACCGUGAAAUCUUCACGGGCAUGUGCUCCUCUGCUCUCUUUCCUGGCUUCAGCAGAGUGCAUAGUAAUACAUGCAUUUAUCAAAAGAUUUUCCAAUUCAAUUGUCUCUAUCAAAUCAGUGUUCCUGUUUGAUGAAUAACAACCUUGGAUCAAUCCUUGAAAGAAUUCAGUACUCAAACUUUAUGAGUAUAGUAAUACUUAUAACAAUUAAAGAAAGAAAGUCAGAGAAACACCAUGAUCCUAUUACCAUAUUAAAUUCCUGUCUUUGACCCGAACAUCACGGAAACUCUCCCAGGCCUUGUCAAUUAGUUUGCAACCUACAGAAGUAGAUGACAAUGACAAAGUGAAGAAAUUGAGGUCGAGUUGUAGACAGUAAAGAAGUCUUAAUUAAAACUCUUUUUAGUUAGGCUACCUUCUUCCAAGGUCUCCUGCGUUCGGAAAACAGCAGCAUUGUUUUGCAUAACUCUUUGCAUGUUCAACCGAAUCUUUGAGGUGGCAAGUGAACCAUUUGAGUUUCUUAACUUGUCUAGCCAUGCAAUGGUCUUCUCACCAGCAUCUUUUUCCAAUGGCUUUUGCUGUGCCCCUGCAAAUUGCCCAGAUAUAAUUAUUUAGUGUUAUCAAAGUAAUUUUUUGUUAUUAUGGCUUGAUUUAGGCUUAGGGUUCAUCAAUAAAUUUCCUUUCCUUUCUUUUUUUUUUAAAGAACAAAAAAUCAAACAAACAAACUUGCCUGGUCUACCAAUCUCUGCAACCCUGUUUGCACAAGCUCGUCCGAAGACAACAAUGUCCAAAAGCGAAUUUGCACCAAGCCUAUUGGCACCAUGAACCGAGGCACAAGCUGCCUCCCCAGCAGCCAUCAAUCCUGGAAUAAUGGCAUCUGGAUCGUUUCCCUUGAUUGUAACUACCUGAUAAACAACAAAUUUAGACAUGAAAAUAGGGCAGGAAGAAAAAUAGUGGACACUCAAAAUUCUAAAAAGAGGGGGAACCUUUCUGAAAAUUUUUAAACUCCCAACUUUUUCACUCAUCAACCAUUUAGUUGCAAGUAAUUAAUUCAUAAAAAAGAAAAAAAAAAAUAGUGGUCUUCUCUGCACACUGUUUAGAUAAACUAACAGAAAUACACCGGUUGAAUCUAGCUGUAAAGUAAUAGACUAACUGAUCCAUAAUAUCAAAACUUUAGGGAUGCAUUUUCAUUCUUCGAUGAGAAGAAAUGAAAAACAUAAAGUGCACUUUAGGGUUGCAUUUUCAUGCAUACCUCUCCAUGAUGAUUCGUGGGAAUUCCACCCAUAUUAUAAUGCACUGUUGGUAAAACUGGGAUGGGUUCUUUGGUGACAUCAACGUCAGCAAAAAUGGCAGCAGUUUCUGAGAUACCCGGAAGCCUCUCCUUCAGUACAUCUGGUGGUAAGUGAUUUAAAUGAAGAUAUAUGUGGUCCUUCAAAGGUCCUGUUAAAAGCCACAAUUUAGUACCAAAGCAGGAUAUUAAAUCUGGAAAAGAAAGAAUAAAUCAGUUUCCUCCUGAACAGUUAUUUUGUUCUGAUGCCCUGAAUCAACUUGACUGUGCCUUAUUAGGUGGAAGAAAGUUCAUCGAUGCAUCUACUUAAAUUCUAGAUGGGAAAAAAGGUUCAUACCAACACCACGACCCUCCCGAAUUUCCAUAGUCAUGGAUCUAGACACAACAUCUCUUGAUGCAAGAUCCUUUGCUGUCGGGGCAUAUCGUUCCAUAAAGCGCUCACCUUCACUGUUCCUAAGAAUGCCACCUUCACCACGAGAUCCUAAUUUUAACAGAAAAAAUAAUUGCAUUGAAAUUAGUAUCACCUUCAUGUAGAGGAGAAAGAGACAACCAAAAGAAAAUUAUCAUUCAAACUAGUGGUCCAGACCUUCAGUAAUAAGGCACCCAGCACCAUAAAUUCCUGUUGGAUGAAACUGCACAAACUCCAAAUCCUGCGCAAGCAAGGGAAAGAAAAGUUGCAAAAGGGACUUGGGCAAUUAUCCAAAACCUUGCAACAUCAAGAAAAGGAGAAAAUUAACCUCAAGUGGAAGCCCAGCUCGUGCAACCAUGGCGUUUCCAUCUCCAGUGCAAGUAUGAGCAGAGGUUGCUGAGAAAUAUGCUCUGCCAUAACCCUAGAAAACAAGAGUUACAUUUACAUAAUUUAUCAGUUCAUACAAUGUGAUCAUCAUUGUCAAAGGGAUAUGGUACCCCAGUAGCCAAAAUUGUUGAUGCAGCUCGAAACCGAUGUAGCGUACCAUCCUCCAUAUUUAGUGCUAUCACUCCCUGGCAGCUACCUGGAAUGCCAAUAUCAUGACGGUAAAGGUAACCAACAUAAGAAUUGUCUUAAAAUGGAUCUCAUACUGUGAACCAGAUGGGAAGGAAGACAUUAUGCUUCAAAUCCUAUUAACCUAAUGAAAAUAUUGUAUAGAACAACCAUAAACUAAUCAUUCAACUAAAAACUUCUACCAAAGAAAUGCAGAAAGAAGCAACUAAAAGAGUUGAGAUUUAUCUUAUGUUACGCUAAAGCGUGAGUAAAUAAUUUGUACUUUAAUCAUAAAAAAUGAGUGGAAAGGUCACUGAUAUUAGAUGAAAUUUAAGUAAAGUGAAGUUAAUAUACCAUCACUAUUCAUUAUUAGAUCCAAAGCGAAAUAUUCCACAAAAAACUGUGUGUUAUGCUUCAUAGCCUGGCCAUAGAGAGUAUGUAAUAAAGCAUGCCCCGUUCGGUCAGCAGCACACGCACAGCGAUAUGCCUGUCCACCUACAAAGAUGACAAUGCAAAUGUAAAUUUUUGAAGAUGUGAGAAUCUCAACGUUAAAGAUUCUUUAGACCAAUGAGGCCAUAGGGACGUAUAGUAUGAAUUUUUACCCUUUCCAAAGUCAAGACUCUGGCCACCAAAUGCACGUUGAUAUAUUUUUCCAUCUUCAGUACGAGAAAAAGGAAGCCCAUAAUUCUCAAGCUCAAUAACUGCUUUCGGUGCUUCUCUACACAUGUAUUGAAUGGCAUCCUGAUCACCUAUAGAACAUGAAAACCAUACAGGUCAAGAACUUUAAUAUACAAACAUUGCGGGUCUAUGGCUUAUAACAGAAAUACAAUAGAUUUGUGUUAGGAUACUAACAAUAAUUUAGACUGAAAGGACUGUAUAAAUGGCUUAAACAGAGGCGGUACUCUGGUUUACUUUAUUUAUAUAUAAAGCCAAAUGAUCCAGAUUCACAAGAUGAAAAGAAAUAACAAGAAACAACAAGGAAAAAUGCAGAAAAGAUCAUACCAGCCUCUUGGUUUUAAGAGACCCUGGUGGCUGCUGUAGCCCUACCUCCUAAAAGUUAAAAAUACCCUAGCUACUCCAACCUAAUAAUCCUAUUUAUAGACUCACAUAUUCCUCAGCCCAGUGGGCCCUACCACUCAGAACGUCCUUCCAAUCAUUUCUCCAUAAUAAUUCCCUGUGCAGUUACUUUUCUACCCUUCCUCCUAUAAGUAUGGAUAAUUGGGGGUCUUACAAUUUGUUUUGUGCAUCUACAAAUUUUAAAUCAUUUAGGAUCAGCAAAUAUACAAAACAUGAGCACAUACAAGUACAAGUGUGCCGUAUAGAAAUCUGUUACUAACUUUGUAUUGGCAGAGUAAGAAGCCACAAGCAUUUUGAUUCAUUAGUGUGCUAUUUACUAAUGACAAAGCCAGGGUCACAUUGCAUGCCAAGAAUCACAAGAUUUUCGAUUUAUCCACAAUUUUUAAAUACCUACCUAGCCAAUCACUCCCCUUGACAGUGUCGUACAUGUGCCACCUCCAAUCAUCCUCAGUCAUGUUUCCCAGUGCAGCAUUUAUACCUCCCUGUAAAUCAAUUGAACUUCAUAUUAAGUCACAUUAUGACAGAAGAGAGUAGACAGCAUGUCGAUAUAUAUAGAUGGAUAAGAAACAGGAAGUGCAUAAUGCACAAAAAGCACAAAACCAAACAGUAAAGACAAGGGGAAAGAGAGAACCCCCUCCCAACAAAAGACACCUACAUUAGAGCUUUUCAAUUCAUUUGAAUCAUAAACAGGCAAUUAGGCAACUCCAUGUUCCCGUACACCACCAAGAAGCAAGCAAUUGAGUGUUGAUACAAAAAAACACUUAUCCUAAAACAUACAGUGAUUCCAUAUAAGCCAAAAAUUCCAAAAAAUAGCACUGGCACAAUAGACCACUAAAGCUUGCCUCUGUUCCUAAAGCACCAACUUCCAACAAUCUCAACCAACCAAUCAAUAUUCACACAUGUAUGUAUUAGAUAUUAUAUUAAACUUGUCUUUACCCACUAGCUUAAUGUCACGUGGUUAUUUUAAUCACAGAACCAACGUGCGGCACAAAGGUGUUGGGUCAUUUUUGGGGCGUGACACCAAGCUUUCAAGUGAAUUGGUGAUUUAAGAUGGUACCAGAGUAGUAGUCCAGGGAGGUCUUAUGUUUAAGCUCCUACGAUGUUAUUUCAAGCAUGUGCACGGUGUAAAAAAUGCUGCUUGUGCUUGUGCUAUAUACAUGUGCUUAUUUUCCAUCCAAAAUAAUUCCACCUAGAACCAAGGUCCCAAAUUAGGGAGGAGAUGUUGCAAGAGUUUUAGAUGGAGAUUUAUUUCUGGUAGAAGGGUGAGAAUCCUUGGUGUAGUCACAUAGAGAGGAGCAUUUCCAAUCCACCGACUGUUUAAAAAAACUAGUACAGGUCCCAACAAUCAAGCCAUUAUUUCCUCAUUGAGGUGGAUCCCCAACUCACUCUUAAAUAGAUUAAUAUUCAAUAAAGCCAAUUCAAAAAGAUGCUUCAACAGCUUCAAAUUCAAAAUAGUAGAAAUCAACAAUGUAAACCAACAAAUUUCAAGUGAUUUAAGUAAAAUUGAGAGGUGGCAAUGGGAUGGGUUGAGAUCUUCCCCAACUGAACACCAUUAGAUGUGAAUAUGCUAAGAUCACCUUCACUAUGAGAUAUUAAUAUGCCACAAGAUAGUCAGAGAUCAAAAUGAAGAGAAAAGGAGAGCAAAUCAUCCUGCCGAAUGCCUCAAGAAGGAAUGAUUUAACCUCUAAGUUUACCGUUAAUGGUAAUCAACUCAUUUGUGCUUGAGAUACAACCAAAAAUCCAUUUUUUAGAAGUUAACCAAAACCUUUUGCAUGAAGAAUAACAUCCACAAAAUCUCAAUCAACUCCACCAAAAGCAUUUUCGAGGUCCAAUUUUAGAACCAAACCCUUCUUGGGAGUGAUUCCAAUCAAUCACAAACCACUAUGUUGGCCGCUAAAUAAGUAUAUCCAUAUUUUAUUCUCCUUUUACGGAAGUGCACAUAACUUGUCCUGGCUACCAAUGUCAAUUGGUUCUCAACAAUAGUAGAAGAGAGAACGAGUUUCACUCAUUUGGAUGAACAUGAGCAAUAAGCUUUUAUGUGCACAUAUUGAGACGGAUCACAUAUAGUCAGUGACAAAUUUGAAAUCAAUAAACUUUGAAAUUAGAUAGUCAUGGGUUUCGAGUGCCACAUCAAUACAAUGCCAGAGUAAUAAAAACCAUGAAGAACACCAUCACAAAUUGUUUAAUAGUGUUCCACUCAACAUUAGUUGGAAGUGAACAAGGAUGGUGGGGGCACAGAUUUUGGAAUAAACCAAAAGAAUUAAUAUCCAAUAUCCUGAGCAAUGAAUAAACGGAUACGUCUCUACAGAGAACCUCUAAAAUCAGCUUCUUCUUUGGCAAACAGCCAUAUUUUAUGGAAAAUUUUUGUACUUUCAUCACCAUCCUUGAUCUGUUCCAAUUUACGACAAUAAUGUCAAUAAAUGUCUUGGUCUGCUGGAUCUUCAUUUUUUUCCCUUAGAGAAUAUUGAGUCUCCUGCUAACUAGUUGUUAAUAAAACAUUAACCUCUGGGAUUGCUCAGUGCCAAAACUAGAUCAAGCUAAAUAUCCAACAAAGAGAGAUAUGUUCGUCCAUGUUGAAUGGAGAGACAAUGCAUAGGUCCACAACCCUCAGCCAAGUAUCGAGAUUUUACUUAGUGGGGGAUGAGGGGUUCAGCAAGGCUGGCUUGUGCCCCAAAACAAGGUGCAAAAUCAGCCUCUGUUCGAAGCAGGUUUUCAGUCUCAAUAUUCUCCUCUUCAAGGGAGUUGAUUAGGCUGGAAGACCAACCAAUGAGAGAUGAAAGAAAGUGAAAUGUUGGUUAAUAGCAUAACGUCGUGCUAGUGGGUCAGGCAUCAGCAGGGGGUUGGAGGGAUCAGGGCUUGGGUUGGAGUUCUGGGCAAACAUCAAAAGAAGUAAUAGCCUAAAUAAUCAAAUGUGCCAUUCAAACUUCAAUUAUGAAGUUUAUAUUUUACCCUAUAGGAGAAAACCCAAAAUAAUCGACAUGUAGGGAAGGGCCAUUCCUAAGUCUGCGAAACAAACAAGACGUUUUUAACCUAAACAGAAAGAAAAAAUACCAUUCCCACCGUACAGUAAGUUAACAUAAGUCCAAAUUCUCUGUACCUGCGCUGCAACCGUGUGAGAACGGGUUGGAAAAAGCUUAGUAAUGCAAGCAGUAUUAAAUCCAUGCUCUGACAACCCGAUAGCAGCUCGAAGCCCUGCACCACCCGCACCUACCACGACUGCAUCGUAUGUGUGAUCAACCACAGUGUAUGAGGAGCGACCAGCCGUCUGACAUGAGCCAAAGAAGAAAUAAUUUAGUAUUACAUAAAACCUAUAAGCAGUCACCAUUUCUCGGAGAAGUUUAACACAAACACCGGAGCCGUAUGAAAGAAAUAUGAGACAGUCGCUACGAUCAGCACAAUCAAUGCAACCAAUGCAAAAAAUAAUAACAUUACGUUCUUUUGAGCACGCAAGUAGCCAAAUGAACACAAUAUUGAAAAACACGAUUCACUAACAAUCCAUUACGAUGAUAUAAAAAACAAACAACAGCGAGAGAAUGAUGAAGUAUAUAGUCUCUUCAUCCAUUCCACAUGCCAUCCUAGACAAAUAAAAAGGAAGACAAAAAACCACAAGAAACGAGAAAACAUAAUCAAAAGCAAAGAUCCAGACAAAUGUUCAAGCUCAAAUUCAAUAAUGAAAAGCUGUGACUGGAGGUCAUACCGAAUCGGCGGAGAAGAAUCUAGAAAAUUGAGAUCUGAGGUGAUCAUUGGGGGACGAUUUCCUGGAAAAGGAAGAAGAAGCACGAAGACCACGAGAAACACAGCGCCACAUCUUGCUUAGAAACCUCAGUUCAACACCUUGCAAUCGCCUGAAUAAUCGAAAUGGAAGAGAAGACGGCGGUUCUACCGGUCUUGAAGCUCGCCGGAGGCCGGAAAAUAGGGGUUUGGAUUGGGGUUUGUUUUUCCAGAGAACGAGUCUCAGGUGGAGGCGAAUGUGAGAGAACAGACCCUCCUAACUAUCACUAAUAAGUAUUAAUGUAAUAUUUUUUUUAUUGUCUUUUUUUUUUUUUGAGAAAGUGAACAAAUAUGUAAAUGUAACUGAGAUAGGGUCUUUUCUUUUUUUUUCAAAUAACAAAAUAGCCAAACUAUUUCUAAAAUAUUACGAAAUCUAUUCUAUUCUUUCUGUCCAUCAUAAUUUUUCAAUCCAAAACUUUUGGGUUGAAGUCACUGUCCACAAUCUAAAAUGCAUAUUGGUUUGUUGUGAUAGAUAGAAUUCUCGAUCGAAUUGAAGUUUAAUUCAAUCAAAGUCGUCAAAUUUUUGGGUCGUAAGAUUUCUUAUCUAUGUGAAGUUUUUUUAUAAAAGUAUAUAUUUUUCUUGUUUAUUCGCUAAAUUUAUCUUGUUUUUGUAAAAUUUCUAGAGAAGAUAACAAAGGUACACACAAUCUAAUAAUUUUAGCUUCAUCUUAUGAGACCUCGUAUAUUUCAAUAUAGUUAUUUUAUUCAUCUUCUUUAUCUCUAGUAUUCGAAAGAAAUUAAUGUUUGUUUAUUAAAUUGUUAUGUCAGUUUUAACGAAUCUUAAAUUGUUAAAAAUGCAACAUGCACAGUGACGGUAAGAUCUUUUAAUUCAAAAAUUACAAAAUGAAACUUGUCUAUCAAUUUAUAUAUAUACAUAUAAAACAUGUAUAUAAUAAUGUUUUGAAAUCACACGUUAUGAAUUAUAUUACAUCAUAAAUUUGUUCAAUCCGAGAUGUUAUUUGAAAUGGUUUCAUAUAUAUAUAUAUAUAUAUAUAAAUGUACUAGGUCAUGAAUGAUACACGUGAGAUGAGAAGACAAUAUUCAAACAAAAGAUAUAAUCACUCUUUUGAAAACUGUGAAAGAACUAACUAUUGUUAUAAAACAAGGUAAGAAUAAAAUAAAAGGUGAAGGGGUUGGAGAUGUAAAUUGAAAGGAAGGAAUGGUCUAAUGUUGCGUUAAAAUGGUGGCACUAUAAGUGGCAGAUUCUAUAUUAACGCGUCGCGGGGGUAAUGAGACUACGUGGGCAUGGUUUAAAUGGCGGUCACGGAGAAAAAGGUGAAGGGCAGGUACGUAAUGGUCCAAAUUAAUUCACGCAACCAUCUUUAUUUGCCUAUAACGUGGGUUAUUCAUCCACCACGCGACAGUCUUCUUCUUCUUCUUUUUAUUUUCUCUUAUUCUCCUUGAAGAGACGUGGUUGGAUUUACAAAAUUAAUUGAUAAAGCCUCGCGUUCAUUAAAUUAUUAUAGUUGAAUUGACAUUAAAAUCAAUCUUUUUAAUGUCUGUAUUCUUUAAGGAUUUUCUAAGGUUAAAAUCAAUAUUUUUUAAAAUAAUAUAUGCAGUUUUUAAACCCAUGAUUAUUGAUUAUAAUUGAAUUGACAUCGACAUGUUCUAACACUGAAUCGUAAUUAUAAAAAAUGACUAAUUUAAUCAAAUAUUAAAUCUACGAUAAAAUAUAUAUGUUAUAUUGGUGAUACUAAUAGAUAGUAAAUGUUCUAUCAGUAGUAUUAAUAGAUAAUAAUAGAAGUUUAUCGAUGUUAUAAUCCAAAAUUUUGCUAUAUUUUGUAAAUAUUUUAGCUUAUUUUACUAUAUUUAAAAAUGCUUCCUAAACUAAAUUAAUUUUGGAUUAUCAAUUCUAAAAAAAAAAAAGAAGACUAAAAACAUGUUUUAAAAUAAUUUUAAACGUAAGAGAUAGAUUGGAAUAGGAGCAUAAUGUUUACACUUUUUUAUGUUAUAUUGUCUAUUUGACUAAUACUUUAUAGUUUGGGGUUUAGCUCAAUACCUAAGAACUUGAGUUGGAGUAUAAUAUUUGCAUGACUAUCUAUAAAAUCCCAAAUUUAAAUUUAACAUAUGUUCAAGUCUUUUCAUCAAUGAACUAUAAUCAACAUCAUCGAAAAAACUUCAAAUCUUCCCACACAAUAUAUUUCCCCGAUUAAUAACACCAUUUGAAGUCUAUAUUGAAACUAAAUAACCUAACAACUAAGCAACAAUGACAAAAAAGAAUACAUCGGUAACAAAAUCAUUUAUUUAACACACUUCAAGUCGAAAUUCACACUAUAAGUUGUCUAAAGACCAAUGUAUAGAGACAAAUUAUGUAAAAAAAAUACCUCAAACUUUCUAUGCUUAACCAACAUCUCCUUCAAACCUAUUUUACGUGUACAAAAUAAAAUAUUAGUGAUAAACACAAAAAGUGACACAAAGCUUGAAAAUAGAGGAAGCUGACUACAAAUACCUUGUCAGUAAAGGAAAAAAUGAUUUAGCAGUUUUUACUGAAAACCAAUAUUCAUGCCUUCAAUGCGAUUUUACUGUUGAUUUCAACGUUGUUGGGGUGGAAUUUGAUUGGAAGUUAAUCGAUUUUGAUUGAAAACAAGUUGUUAAGAAACUUGUAACUAAUGGAGGAAGGGGGAAUUGGCAAGGCUUGCGCUAUGGUUUCAAUAACAACAACCUCCAAGGACUAGAAGAAUGAUGGAAAUAAAAGGAGAGAAUCAAAUGAAAGAUCAUGAAGAUAGAUCAAUCGUCAACUAAAAGAACAUUCGAAGACGAUGGAGAAGAAUGAUAAAGUAUGGUCAGAGUUGGAACAAUAAAAACCAUAACAAAAAAUAAGAUAAAAAAUGAUAAAAAAAAUUUGAUUUAAAACUAAUCAAACAAAACAAAUCGAGUCUAGAUCGUUAAAUCCAAACAUAAACUUCUUCUACUAGGUUACUAUAUCCUAUCUCAUUGUAGUCCACAAAACAUCCCUUAAUAUGGAUUGAAAUUCAAGCAACCCAUUCCAAAAUUUGAGGCCACUAUAAUUUUAUUGGCUUAAAUGGAAGGAGCCUAGUAAAGGGUUGGGCUCUUACAAGCAAUAUAUGGUAGAAUACUAAUUAAAGAAGAUGUUGUAUUUGGGCCUCUUCAAGCCUCCUUGCCCAAAAAGUUGACUCACAUGAAUUAGGAAUAAUGAAUAAUGACAAAUAUAUCAAUUACAUUAUUCAUACUUUUUUAAAGUUUACCAUUAUAACAAAAUCUGUCCAAUUAUUACUAAUAGAAUAUAUUGUAAAUAUUUAUUUAUCGCGAUGAUUAAGCUACAUAAAUAUUUAACAAUAAAAGUCUAUCAUUUAUAAACGUUGCUAUAUUUACAUUUUUCUGAAAAUGUUAUUAUAUAUUUAAUUAUUAUUCUUAAACUCACUAUUCUUUAUAAUUAUUGGAUGAAUCAUAAAACUCUCUUGAUAUAGAAAGUGUUUUCCUCCUGCUUUUACUUUCUUCUAAUUAAUACAAUAGGAUUUCUCAUCAUUUUUGCUAUCUUACUAUAUUUUAACGUCAAUUCCGUCCUAAUUUAGGAUAUAAAGAUUACCAUAUUUCUAAAUUAAAGACAGUGAUUCAAUCCGAUAGCACUUGUUUCAUUUCUUCAAGAGAUCAGCAACACAUUGCUUCUUUAGGCUCCUCCAUUUUUUAAAAGCAUCAAAGGUUUUCAUCCAACAAUUAUAACCUCAUCUAUUCCCAUCAUUUAAUAACGAACAUCUAUUUGAUAACAUCAUUCCUCAAUCAUACACUGCCAAAUUUAAUCAAGUGAAUGAUCUUCAAAACAUAUAAAUAUUUUCAAACAUUCUAUAAAGUAAUUUAUAUGAAACCAACCAUCUUUAUUGUUUUACUAUAAAUCUCAAAAUCAAAUUUUCACAAUAAUUAUAAUUCUAAAUAUCAAAUAUAGUAGAGUUUUUAAAUGGUAACCAAACGUUCAAAAUCAUUUUAGAGAAAUUAAGUGGUAGAUGAUCUUUGUUCCGUGAUUGAUCGAAAAUCAACUCCAAAAUAGUUAUCUAAUUAUAUUUUUAUGUAAAAUAUUGUUUGUUAGUCAUUUGUAAAUUUUUUUAAUUAUGAAUUUUAGAACAAAAGAUGACAUACAUCUAUCUUUAAAAUGUUAAUAAAACACACACUUAUAUAAACAAACAUGUAUCAACCAUCUAUAUAAAAAUUUAAGAAUAAAAUAAACAGAAAUAGAUCUUUACCUUAAUUACUUAUUAUUCAGUCGGACACUUUCGGUGUCCUUUACGUUUCAUUAUUAUUAAUAUUUUGAAAAAGUUAAUUAUAAUAUAUAUUAAUAAAUAACGUAGAAAAUAAGCCUAAUGUAUACAAAAUAUUUUUAAAAAAUAAUUAAAAGAAAAAGAGUCUAUCAAGUUGGUAAAGAAGCAAUUAUGGAACAUCAUUUCAUAGAGAUAUUACAUAUUAAUCAUAAAAAGACAAGCAUAUAAAGUUGUAAAUAAUUUCAAAUAUGAUUUUGGAAGCAUAUAUAUAUGUGUGUGUAUAUAUAGUUUCACUAUAAAUGUUAAGUUGGGUAUAUUAUUUAAUUAAAAAAUGAAUUUUAAGAAAUAUGAGAUUGUCACGUCAAACAAUUAAUACAAUAAAUACAGAAGUAAUUGGGUUGUUUGAGUGUGUAUGCAAUUAUGAUUUGAUAUUAAAAGGCCGAGAUUUUCGGCAAAUGCAUGCUUGAGUUCCCACUAAUCAUAAGCAUUACACAGUUAUUAUCAUUCUUAAUUUAUCAAUUAACUAAUCAAUCUUAUUUUAAUUGUUGUAAUGAAGGAAAACAUAGUGUGUUAAAUGCUUCACAUUGGUAAUGGGUCCCAUCGCCGAAAGUACUCACACAUGUAUUAUAAUUAGUAUGAAUUUUUAAUUUUCUUAAAAGAUUAAUAAAAGUAAACCAAAAAGUUAUUCAAAUAAAAUUUAUUUAAUAAUAUAAUAAAAUUUAAAAUUAUCUGUUAAUAGAAGUUUAUUAAUUAAUGCUAUCUAUCUUUGAUAGUUUAUAAAAUUUGGUAUAUUUAUGAAUAUGAUCUAUUUUUAAAUAUAUAAAAAAAAUUGAAAUUAUUUAUACAAUUUUAUACUAGUCAUUUAAGCUUUCUUUUUAAUUAUUCAUAAAAAUUUAUAUUAUUAUUAUUAGAAUUAUGAUUGUGAUGAUGAGAUCUAUAGAAUCUUGGAAAAGAGGCUACUAUAGUUGAAAGAGAAGGAAAGAAGUUUUGUAUUAAGAGGCUAAUAAUAAAACCAUGCACAAGAAUUGAUGUUGUAACAAUAAUCUUAUCAUGAUUGAAGUUGGAAUAAUGUAAGAGCUUAUCUAUAAUUAAUUGAUCUUUUUCUUUUAAAAUAGGGUGUAUCAAGAAAUUAAACAUGAUAUAAUGUUGAUUGUAUAUAGACAUUGAGUGAUGCUUACUUUGACAAAGUGAUGAGGAUAUUACAAAAUUAUUCUUUGCAAAAAAAAAAAUUAUGGUUCAACUUAGAGAUUUGACCAAAUUAAUUCAUAACUUUCAAAGUCGAUUGAAGGUGGAAACUCAAAGUUAAUGUUACUCGAUUUUUAGGUCUCCAAUGAUACUUGUUUGGUUUUUUUAGAUUAAAUUUAUCAACAAUAUUUCAACUAACCAAUUCUAUGUUUGAAAAAAAAAAAAUCAAGCAAGAGUGUUGAAACUUAAAAAGAAAAUAGUUAUAAAAUUUUAUUUUUAUUUUAAGAAAACUAAAAUUGAAAUCAUUUAUCAAAUGAAAGAUUAUUAAUUAACAUGAUUCACCAUCAACUUUAGAAUCUUUAUCUCGUAAAACAAGUAUUUUCAUCAAACACUCGUCAAUUUUAUACUCAUUCAAAUAAAAAAUUAAUCAAUCAAGAAAAAGUAAAAAAAAAAAACGAGUAUGGCAAAUAAUUUAUGAACACAUCUACAAAAUAUAACUUAGGAAGCAACACAACAAACAUCAAUGAAUAAAUCACAAAGGACAACUAAAGAGGGCGAGGGGUCUUAAAUUUAAAAAACAGGGCCACGAAACUGUAGUAGAUUUGUAUGAAAUUGAACUAAUAAAACACGUCCAAUCUUUUAAGUUCAUAACAUGAUUGUUAGUGGGCCUUUGAUUCCACUCCACCAUUAUCUAAUCUCAUCAUCAAGCAUUUAAUUUUCCUUCCAUAAAACCAAAGUAAACUAGUCAAAGAUCACGACUGAUUAGCAACAAAUAAAGACAAAGCCCCCAAAUGGGUGUGGGAAAAUUGUUUGGAAGAAGGAAUGGCCACGUCUAAAUCCAAGCGUGAACAAUGAUUGUAGGAAAGGAUUGUGAUUUUCUUCGUUUACGCAUUUUGUCGAACAGGUUGUGAGCAAUGGCAGUUUUGGGACUUUGUGAACUCGACGGAGAAGCAAAGGCAAAGGAAUCAAAAUGACACAUAAUUGGCAUUUGGUCGUGAAAAGAAAAGGAGGGAUUUGAGGGAUUUUUUUUCUUUUUGGCUGUGACGGCGUUUUGUGUUUAUUAAAAGAGAAGAGUCAUACGGCUGCUGCUGCGGGUUGAAGAUAUAAUUCAUAGGCACGGCAGUCAGGGCGCUGCUCUUUUCUUUUUCUCUCUCUAAUUACUUUGAAUUGGAAGCUUCUAUUACGUGUUAUUUAUUUUACCUUGUGCUUCAAUUCAAAGUUAAAAAAUUUGAAAGUAAUUGUCAUGUUAAAUUCAUUUAGUUAGUAAAACAAUCUAUUUGGUUGGUGAUUAGCAAUGUAGAUUGCAAAGUUUAAGCGUGUUGAUGAUCGUAGAGAUGUAUAUAUAUCAAAGUUUUCCUACCAUACUUGACAUACUCAAUACUAGUAGGUUAUGUGACACCAUAUCAUCCUAUGGCUACAUUUGCUCUACUUUUACAACCGUUUGAAUGAAUAUAUAGUUUAAACACAAUAACUAUCAAGUUAAUUUUUUUUUUUUCGAAUUUGAAACUAUAAAUUUAUGUGUCAAGAAAAUUCGUAUAAUAUUAAAUUUUAGAUUAGCGACAUUAUGGAUUGAAUACAUUUUUGUCAUCUUUUAUAGAGUUAAUUCGAUAUUUUUUUCUUUAAAAAGUAGUAAUUAAUAUUUUAUGUUUAGCUUUGAGACGGUGUUUUAACAAAAAUGCUGAUCUUGUGUAGUUCAGAUUAACCAAAACUUCAAACUCGUGUCUAGAUCGUCUCAAGUUUUGUAAAUAUAAACUUGAUUAAAAUGGUGAACAUAAGGUAGUCUAUAUGUUUUUUCACAAUUUUUUUCGCCACAUGUUUCUUUUAACCUUCCAUCUAAUCUUACCGUCACAAUUAAAUCAACGAAUGACAAAAAAGAUCUAAGGCAAUGAUGAGGGAAGGAUAUUUUGAAAAUUAAAAAAAAUAAAAUAAAUUAUUAUUGAUAGAGAAAAUAUUUACAAAAUACACUAAAACAUUUAGUUGGUGAAUACUUUUGUAAAUAGUUUCAAUAUUGUGUGAUAUUUAAAAAAUGUCCAAAAAAGAAUCCAUUUCGCUACCCCAUUCUACAUAGCAAGAGGAAAAAAAAAACUAUAUGGUUAAAUGUAGGUGGACAAUUGAGUGUGUUGGUAUAAAGUGCAAUUUAUAAACAUCUUUUUUCAUAGUUAGUUCUUUCCAUGCAGUUUCUUUUAUAAUCGAUCAUACAUUUUCUUUAUUUUGGAAAAUAAUAAAGGAGAUUUUGUUUUAGCCUAGCUGAUUCAACCUAGCGAAAGAUGGCAUGAAACUUGUAAAAUUGUAAUAAUGACAAAUAUAUAACAAUAAUUGUGUAGAAAUAGUAAUGAAAGAUAAGUAUGACAAAAAUUUAUAUGAGUUAUCAACUAGAAUUAUAUUUUGCAACAAUAGAAAUCGGUCCACACGCUAGAGUGAUAUUUAAAAAAAAAAAAAAAGACUUACCUAAUUAUCUUUAACUUGGCUCUUAAUUUGAUCUAUCCAACUUGUAAAGUAAGUCUCAUGUUUGUACAAUAUUUUUUUAGUUAUAUUGAGCAUAAAAGAUAAAUUCUAUCUAUCUAUAUCAAUAUUGCAUGUUUAAAAUAUACGAUCUUAGAUCUAUAUUUUAGUGGUCGAUGAUCUAUUUUCUUCGAUUUGUUGGAAGAAGAUCUUAUCAUUUGUCCUAAAAACUCAUCUAAUUCAACUAGUUGAAAAUGACAAUAAAAGUAAAAUUUGUUGCAUAUGGAAGAUGGAAAAUGGAAAAAAUGGGAUUUAUGGGUGGGAGUCUAUGUGACUUGAUUACACAUCUACUGCACAAAAUUUGGAUGUUGAUUGCUAGUGGAAAUUUUGAGUAUGAAGAUGAUAUGUUUGUCACCUUGUUGAAGAAAAUGAAAUAAUGGACAAAUAUGACAACAAAUCUCUGUUCUUGCCUAAUAUAUCAUUUUUUUUUAACUAAGAUUUAUUGAAAAUAUAUAUGAUUAUCCCUACUUUUUUUAGGAUCAAAAUUUAAAAUAUAUUAAUAUUAUAUUUUUUUCAUUAAAAUUAUUAUUAUUAUUUAAACAAAUUUGGUAAAAUUAACUCAACGACUAAAUUUAAGAUUUAUUUAAAAUGCAAGAUUAAAAUUAGAUGGACUAGUUAUUAUAUUGAGAGUAAUUAAUAUAUAUGUAACAAAAAUCUAAUAUAUUUAUGGUUCGUAUAACAAAAUAAGAAAAAUCCAUGACGUGCAAUUAUUUUAUAUCUUAUUUUCAAUUUAUUAAUCUCGGAACAUCUCGAUUAAAUUAAUUAGGCUCAAGAUCGAAUAACUAAAGACAAAAGACUUUCAUCUCUAAGAAUCUCGAGACAAUGUAUGUCCAAAAUCGAAUAAAAUAAAGGCAAAACUUUUUCAUCCCAUAGCAUCUUGGUGCAAUUAAGGUAUGAUAUCGAAUAACUAAAUACACAAUUCUUUCAUUUUGGGACAAUGUAUGUCCGAGAUCGAAUAAAAUAAUUGUAGAAAUCUUUCAUCCCGGGUCAUCAUAGUGCCACUAAGGUCCAAGAUACAGUAACUAAAUGAAAAAUUCAAGGAAAAAUUCUUUCAACCCAAGCAUGAUAUGCCUGAGAUCAUGUAUCAAAAUGUACAUGAUCGUUCUACACGAUCGUAUUCACGCAUGUGUGGCCGACUUCUAGUGUGUUGACUUUGGGUAGUUUUGAUAUUUUAGAUUGUAAACUUGUAAGCUUGUGAGCCUUUUUUGUUUUUAAAAUUAUUAUAUAAAAUGUAAAUAUUUUGUCGAUUUAUUAUAUUUAAAAAAAAAACUAGUCAUAUUAAGUAAUACUAUUAAUAAACUACGUAACCAACUAAAUUUUUUAUCUUUACCAUUUGUGUUGGGCUAAUUUGUUUUUGUCAGUUUUGCAAAAGUUAUAUAUAUACACAGACAACAAAAAGGUCAUGUCAAUAAAUUGACGGUUGAUUUCAUUUUGGCACUAACAACUAUCACAUAUAUUCAACGAUUGAUUUCUACCUGAUUUUUUUUUUUUAAAGUGUUUUAUAGAAACAUAUUCAAAUAUAAUAAAAUGAAUCAAAAUAUUAGUUUAAGAUUCUAUCACCAAUAGAAGUUUAUCAUUCUAUAGUUGAUCAGUUACAUUAAUAAAAACUAAUAAAAAUUUAUAUAAAAAAAAACAGGUUUCAAGUGCCUAACAUUUUAAUUUGCUAUAUUUUAAAUCGUUUUAUUAUCUACUAUAGUUAAAAUAAAAGUUAAAAAUAGGUAUAUUUAUAAAAAUAAAAAUAAAAAGAGGGGAAAGUGAAAAAAGAGAGAGAUAGGAUGGAGUCUUAUCAAAUGGGGCUGUAAAGGGAGUCGUACCAAAGCAGACCAGAAGGCAUGGUAGUUGGUUGGUUAGGUUGGGUUGGCCAUUCACAUUCCCCCACACCUUCAACUCUCUUUCUCUCUCUAUUAUUUACUUUUAUCAUAUUCCAAAAUCUUACCUUCUUCCUAUACUUGUUUAAAAUUUCAAAACAUAUUCACAUAUUUGUACCUUUUUUAAUGUAAGCAAUGUUUUGUAUAAUUUUUUCCAAUGAAAAACACAACUAUUGUGUAACCAACUUCAUGAAAAUUAAUUUGGAGAGAUUAAAUAUAAAAUGGUUGAAAGCAACCGAUUAAAUGGAAGGAAUUGCAUAGAGUGAGAGUGAGAGUGAGGAGUGAUAUAAUAUUUUAAUAUUUGAACGAAAUUCGCAUUUAUUUUUAUUAUAGUUUGAAAAGGAAGAGGCCACGCCACACGUGUGGGUGCGGUACCUGGCGCUAUCCCCCACGCCCUCUGUACCUUUCCCCUCACCCGCACGGGCGCUUCCUCUUUCUCCUUCACUCCUUUUUGCCUUCUUCUUUUCUUCUUUUUUUUAGCUUUCUAUAUCUUUUUAAUUCAACUUCUUUUUUUUCUCCCAACCCACCGACGUUUUAUUUUAUUUUGUUUAACUUUUUUAACGACAUUAAUUAUUUUUUACCCUUUUCUACUAUUUUAUUCUAGAAUCUAAUCAUUUAUAAAAUAUAACAAAAAUUAGGGGAUCUCAAUAAUUUAAUAAAUCAAGAUAUAUGUAUAUAUAGUCAUGUUUCUAAUUUAUGAUUAUAUUUUAUUAUAACGGUAAAUAUUUUUAUAUACGUUUCUACUUUUAGUUAUUGUCGUCAACCUUCUAUCUAUAUUAUUUAAAUUUAUGGAAAAGGUAAAUUUUUAUAUUUUAAAAUAGAGAUAAAAGGAAGCUUUGCUUAAAGCAUGUGUGGGAGAAGUGAGGGUUCCAAAGUAAAUAACUUAAAAAAUUUAAGAUAAUUUUAUAUAGAAAAGUUACAUAUGAGUUAAAACUUUUAUGGUAGGACACUUGCUAUAAUUAACAUUAACACACUUUAUAAUAUUAAUAAAUGUAAUAUGAUAUAAAAAAAUUUACAAAGAAAUAAAGUAUAUUACUAAUAGAUUUUGUUAUAUUUAAAAUUAUUUAAAAAUGUUAUCAUACAUUUCAAAUUUUAAUCUUGAUAUUAUUUUAUUAAAAGUUUAAAUAAGUAUUACUAGUCAUAAAAUUAGCAUUUAAUAAAUAAUAAUAAUAAAAGAUUUAAAAUGGUAAUGAAGAAUUAUAGUUUAGGGAUUGGAUGAAUAGAUAAUUUAAAAAAUAAUUUUAAAUAUAUAAAAAUUAAAAGUUGAAAUUAUGAUUUGUUAUAAAUUUUAAAAAAAUGAAAGUUGGAUCAUGGAAGGUCAGAAUUGGAGAGACUAUACGUGAAAAGAAAAAAGAAGAGUGAUGGGAGAAAGAAAAUGAGAAAGUAGAGAAUAAAAAAAAAGCAUCAUUCCUUUGUACAUUACAUCGUGUGAAUAAAGAGUCAAAAUGCUCAAAAGCAAAGUUGCAGGCCAAGUGUGUACACGCGACUAGUAAUGAUGUACGCACGUGGACAUUAUUAUUCUUUUUAAAACAAACCCCAAAACAGGGGACCAAAAUCAAUUCACCUCAACACUUCUCCACUCCACGACCUAUCUAACAAAAAUAAAUAAUCACUACUUUCUUUCUACACAAACAAAGCGUUCAAAACAGUAUGAAUCGCUAAAUUAUGAGUGACCCCUAUUACAAUAUUUAAAUAAGAUAGUAAACGCCAUAUAGAUUGAGAGCCAAAGAACCUGCAUUGACACAAAUAAUGUUGAUUGAGCCAUUUUGUUUCGAUCAUCUCAAAUUGUCCCAUCAAUUACAAGAAAAUAAAAGAUGUAUUUAUCUCUCACUAUAUAAAUUAUUUGGACUAUCUCAUGAAAAAGUUGCCAUGCAAAAAAGAAAAAAGAUAAAAUUUAGACCACACCAAUAUCAUUGCUAAAAAAACAUAAUAUCAAUUGUGGUAUUACAUCAUUAACAAUUUUAUCUAAAAUAUCAAUAAACAUGGAAAUAUUUAACGAAUCGUAAAUAUAUGUAUAGCGAUAGAAGUUUAUGAUUAAUAAAAACGUUAUUAUAUUUAUAAUUCUUAAAUAAUAUAUUUUAUUAAUAUAGAAAAUUAUUUUGUUUAAAAUAAAAUACAAUAUCUCUAAAGACAACGACGAAAUAUAAAAUGGUGUGUUUAAAGGAAAGAUUUAGGGGCUGGCAAUGGCGGAGAGCGGACCCUUUUGUAAUUGAGAGCUUAUCGGCUAAAGAGAAAAGGCGUUGGCUUCCUCCAUAAAAGCACUGUUGCCAUACUGUUGGUUCCAAUUAUUUUUUUUAUUAUACUAUUUAAUAUUAUGUAUUUGUGUUUAAAACCAUUUCCAACUGUGUCAUAAAGUGACAUUUGCCUAAUUUGGGUAUUAAGGGAACGGAUAUAAAUUUGUUUAGUUGAAUCAUAUCUUAAUUAAUCACUUAAGUUAUGAUUAAGUUGGGUGGGCGAAUGGAUGUUAGGUGGAAAGAAAAAAAAAAUUACAUGAAUCACAAAUACUAAAUUAAGUAGUCCUUUUUAAGUAUUAAAUAUCACAGUUCCAAAAAGUACAAUGAGAUUUAAAACUAAGAUUAGUUGAGUUAUUAUUUAUCAAGGACCAUUCAACUAACAAAGAAAUGCAUGAAAGAAAGGGAUCAAAUAGGUCUUAGAAUAUAUAUUACAACAUUGGGUUUAGAGAAACUGGAGCAUGUUGAUACAAGUACUGCACAAAGUUGGAGUUAUGGUGGUUUAAAAUUGCUAUUUAUGAGGGACGUCGGCCUCCAAUAUUCUCCAUAUUAACAACAAUUUAAAUGCUUGUGGGAAAAGUACUAUUCAAUCAUGGACGCCCCUCUCUAUCAUUUAUUAAAAAGAUAAACGAAAACCUCGCAUGUUUUUAUUUAAAACACAAAUAAUAAUACACUAAUUUUGUAAAACCAUAUAAUUGUUGACCUAAUAAAAAAAAUAUAUAAUAUUUUAUUAUAUCAUGUCCUUCCAUGAGAUAUUAAACAAAAAUUAUAUAUCGAAUCGUAUUUCAAACAACAUCUAUCUUUCAUUAUGUGUUCUACCAAAUUGUUCAAUCUUAUCAUUUGUUAAUAGACACAAGUAGUACUAAUAAUCUAUCAUGGUAUGUGGUAAAUUAACAGGUUCAUUUUGUUAUAUUUAUAAAUAACUCUUAACAUUAUUAGAUAAAAUAUAAAUAAUAAUUAUUUCACGGUAUCAACUGUAAUUUCAAUCUUUGAAUUUAAAUGUUCAUUAUUAUCUUUCAUAUAAAUGUUUAUCUAUAUAAAAUCAAUACAACUCGUUUAGAAAAGAAAUUGUUUUAAAUGAGAAACGGCUAAAAUAUAUAUAGAUGUAACAAAAGUUUACUAUAUAUCAGCAAUAAAUUGUCGUAGACUAUCAAUAUUUAUCUACAUUUAUUAGUAAUAUCAUAUUAUAUUUAUAAAUAUUUUGAUUUAUUUUUUAUUAUUAAUAAAUAUUUUAAUUUAUUUUUUUAUAUUUAAAAAACAACUCCUUAAACACUCAACAUUUGAACAAAUAUAUUAAACUCUCACAAAAUUUAAACCUCAAGGAAAACAUAAGCAUGAAUUAUGGAAAAAUCGUCCAAAAUAUAAUUUAAUAAAAAAAUAAUGUAUAAUAAAUUUUAUCUUUUAUUGAAUUUGUUUGGUGAAGUAAAAAUAAUUUGUUAAUUUUUCUAUAUUUGAAAAAACCUCUAAACUAUCAUAAAUAUUUUAAAAUAUAAAUAUUAGAUUACUGUAAAUUGAAUUAAUAUACUUUUAGUAUCACGUAUUAUAUAUAUUUUUGGUCACAAAUGAGUUAUCAUGUGAUACUUGAGAUUUAAUUCUAAUAAUAAGUCGAUUAAUGAGGAUAGAGUGAGGUCGGCUGGUAGUAGUUUGGGAUAUAUUUUAAUGAUUGAGGAAGCAUUGUAGAUGAAAUGGAUGGUUGAAGCAAUCCAAAUUAAUUCUUGUGUUUUAAUACACAAUCCAUUACUAACAGUGCAAUAUGGUGUGUGUUUGGUACUAUGUACCUAUUUUGAAUAGAAAUAUUGAAUAUACUCACAAUCUUUGGCCUUUUUUAUUGACUUCUUUUUUUAUAUAUAUAAAAGAAAUAAGGUCUAAAUUAAAUAUAUAUUUAUGAAACAACAUAAUUUGGGUCUAUUAUUGUUUGUUUUUUUGUUUGAUUGAAAUCCUCAUAACUAUAUUGUACGAAAAUGUUUGGACAUAUUUGAUAAACUUUGUGAUAUUGCAAAAAUAGGCCUAAUUGAUAAUGAUUCUAGUCAUUUGAUAAUGAUGGUCUCUUCAUUAACUUUAUGUGUGUUUAUUUGAAUAGAGAAGUGAAGUUGGGUUGAGUACUAUUAAUAGGGAGUUGAGUUAUUGUAUGGUAUUAUUGAAGUUGAAUUUGUUUAAUCAUUCAAAAUCAACUUUAAUGAUUUGAAAAUUGCACUUAAAAGUUUGUUUGAUACUAUUGAAGGAGAGUUGUUUAAACCAACUUAGAAGUUGGUGGAUCAAACCCCUUCUUAUGUAUAUAGUCUAUGUUUUUCUUCUUAAUUAACUAGUUGAUCUGUGUAGAAAUGGCUACUGGUAUUGCACCUUUGGCAUCCUUUAGGCACAUUAUCUCCUUGAUAUGCACUGAGAAAGUGAGAGAGAAAUUGAUCUUGGUUGUCGAUUGUUUUAGUUUAUUUGUUAAAAAAACCACAACCUUCAAAAAACUAUAAUAAUAUUGUAUUAUUUUAAUUUUAACUUUUUUAAAAACACGUGUAUUUGACACUUAAUCAUAUUUACAAAUUGAAAACAUUUCUUAUUUUUAUUCGAAAAUUGUAUAAUUAUUUUUUUAUGAAAAUUUAUUGGAAAGACUUCAUCUAAAGAGUUAAUACAUUGCUAAAAAAUAGUUAAUAUCUAAUAAAAAAAUUGGUACAAAAAAAAAAAUUAUCAAAAAUAGAAUAUUUAAUAAAACAUUCACAACUAAGGCUAAAAGUUUUUACAUAAUAUUAGUGAUUUUGUUCCAUGAAUGGUAAAUAGUUGGUCGAAUUUUUUCAUUCUUUAAAAAACAUCUAAAAAAUGUGUACCAAGAAUCCCAACCCAAUUCUUGGAUGAAAUUUUUAGAGAAUAAAGUUUGUAAACCAAAACAAAGAAAUCUAACUUUAACGUAGUUCAAAUAUCAUACCAACAUAUUGAAGCCUUAGAAUAUAACAUGAUUUGCAAUCUAUUUCAUCAAUAGACCAACCACGUCAUAUUAUACAAAUUUUUUAUAGUAAAAUACGUUGUCAACUGUCAUAUUCCAUCAAUCAAUAAGUGAUGGAGAAAAACAACUAACACUUCAAAUAUCUUAUUGAAAGCUUUCAAAUAUAGAAAUAAAAUACUAUUCAUAAAAAUAAAACAUAAAAUUAUACCAAAUCCAUCUUAAUUCUAUAAGUAAUAAUUUUGUUUGUAAAAGUUAAACCAUUUAUUCAAUUGAAUACUUUAAUUCUUAGUCCAUUUUUUAAAAAAUAACAAAACAAUUUUGAUUUGAUUUUUAACCAUUAGUGUAAAUAGUGUCUAUACACUCAAAUUUGGUUUAUUAUCCACUAAACUAUAAUCAAAAUAUAAUUUAAUAAUCAUUUUUAGUGGGUGUUAAUAAAUCAUUUUAACACCGUGGGUUACUUAAAUUGAGUUAGAUAGAGGAGAUGAACCAAUCUGGUUUCUAACUCGUUUCCAUUUUGGAAAAUAACUAAGCUCCUAACUUGAGUUACAAGUGUCAAUGACACCCUUCUUUGAGCCUUUCUUUUAGCAAUAAAACCCUCUAAUUUUUUAUUUUGUAUUUUUUGUAUUAUUUGGAUGUGGACAUAACAUUUCAGAUGAGAACAAAUAUUGUUGAUGAUAAAAUUUUAAAAAUAUUUAUAAAUAUAACAAAGUGUAACGUUUGAUAAAUUAGUAUAUGUGUUUAUAUGAUACACAUAGAUACAUAUAAUAGUUUAUCGACUUGAUCGUAAAUAUACAUUAAUAUUUUAGUAAUUUUGUAAAUAUUUUUAUUCAUUUUUGCAUAAUCAAAAAAAGAAUUAAUACUUUUUGAUUCCAUCAAAAUAUCAACUUGUAAUAUUUUUAGUUAGCUUUGUGGUUACUCACUUUUCUGUUUCCUUUCGACUCAAGUUCAAAUUUCACAUUAAUUAAAACUAUUCAAUUUUAUUCAUUAUUUUUUUAUUUUUAUAGUUUUUUUUUCAAUUUUUUGUCUUCUUCUUCAACGUAUUCUUGAAGCUUUCGAACUAAGUUUUUAUUUAUUGUAUUAGUUCUCGUUGGGUUGUCUAAGUUAUAUUUUUGUUAUAUGUCCAAUAUCUUAUUGAUUUAUUCUCGUUGGUUAUUGUAAAUUUAAUUUAAAAUCAAAUAUUUUUUUGAGAAAAUUGACGAGGUCACCGUCUCCCUUGAAAAAAAAGUAAUAAUAAUUAUGAGAGGUACUAUAUAUAUACAUAUAUAUAUAUAUAUAAACUAUAUAGCCCCAUGUCAAUAAAUUUUCUAGAUCCACCCUAAUAGCAAAUAUCAUAGUUUAUCAACGAUAGACCACGAUAGAGUACUAUCUAAAUUUAUUGCAACACACAUAGUAGUCUAUCGGGUAUAGAAAGCAAAUAUGUGCACAAAUGCAUUAUACUUUAAAACCAAAAUAACAUAAUUUUUCUCUACAAAAAUAUAAAUUUACAUUCUUAAACAUUGGAGCUUAUGCUAAUGUAACUAGAAAAUUAAUAAUGACAAAAUUGAUAAUAUCUUUUAACAAAUAUAAUAAAAUAUCAUUCGAUAAACUGCAAUAGACUACUAUAGGUCUACUAUGACAGAUAGUAUAUCGUGAAUAUAAAGUAAAAUACUGCUAUGUUUGUAAAUAUUUUUGUUCGUUUUAAUAUAUUUGAAAAAAAAAUUAUUUUAAAUAAAAAACUAAAUUGUUUUUUUAACAAAUAUAGCAAAAUUUAAUAGUCAACUAAGGAUGACAUUGAUAUAACAUCUAUUUAUUAACACGUACCUACAAUGUUAUUCUAUAUUUGUAAAUAUUUUAAUUUAUUUUGUUAUAUUUAAAAAAUAAUAACUCUAUUAACUAUUAUAGGGUAGAUUUAAAUGUAAUAGUGGAAAUAUUGAUUUUAAGAAAAGAUAUUUAACACAUCAAAUUUAUAUUUGAUAACAAGGUGUUAGAAAUAAUUGUGGUAUAUUUAUAAUUGAUAUCUAAUUCUUAUGUUCCAUUAUAUAAGUUAAUUUUGAGUUAUCUAAUUAGUAGCUAUAUUUUUUAUUUGAAAAUAGUUAGGAUAAACAUCUAUUUCUAUAGUCUUUUUAUGGCUAAAUUCUUACAUGUUGGUUGAUAUAUAUAUAUAUAUAGAUAGAUAUUAAAAUUAACAAAGAACAUUUUACACAAAAAUGGAAUUAAGUAAUGAUUUGGAGAGUGAUAGAUGGAAAUUCACGUAACAAAAAUCACUACAAGACCAACUGAUCUUAAACACCUAAUACAAUUAGUUUGAGUUUAAAACUUAUAGAAGCUAAAUCGAAAUUUCCAUUUUAGAGCUAAAAGAAUCAGAGUGAGAGAAGCUUAUAAAAGGAAGCUCAUCGUCUUUACAAAAGUUUCUCAAAUUUCCAUUUUCCCCUUUUCGAAAUCUCUCUCUGUUUCUUCUUCCAACUUUCUUCUCCAGCUUCCUUCUUCCUCGAUUCUCUCAACAACCCCUAUGUCUGAUUCCAUUUUUCUGUAGACAGAGAAAAAAAAAAAAAAAAAACCCAAAAGUAACAAACCACCAUUCAUUCAACUUCAUCGAGAAACUCAAUUCAAAGUUCAACUUCUGAUCACAUUCACCAUGUUCCACACAGAGCUUUUACUCUGUUUUCUCCCUUCUAUUUUAGCUCUCUUCCUCUUCCUCAUUCUCCUCAAACGAAAGAGAAAUGCCGUCCAUCUUGAUCUCCCCCCCGGCAGCAUGGGUUGGCCGUUUCUCGGCGAGACCAUCGGUUAUCUCCGGCCCUAUUCCGCUACCACCAUCGGAGCUUUCAUGGAGAAUCACAUCAGGAGGUUUGGGAAAUAAAAUCUCUCAACUCUCUGUUUUUUUACUCUGUUCUUAGUUUGUUGUUUUGGUGAAUCUUUUAACAUGCAGAUAUGGUAAAGUGUAUAAGUCGAACUUGUUCGGAGAGCCAACGGUGGUGUCGGCCGAUGCCGGACUGAAUCGAUAUAUUCUGCAAAACGAAGGGCGGUUGUUUGAAUGUAGCUACCCGCGGAGUAUCGGUGGGAUCCUAGGGAAAUGGUCGAUGCUGGUUACCGUCGGCGACAUGCACCGGGACAUGAGAAUGAUAUCCUUGAAUUUUCUCAGUCAGAGUAGGCUUAAGAAUAAUCUGUUGAAGGAAGUUGAGAACCAGACGCUUCUUGUUCUUCGUUCUUGGAAAGAUUCUUCCACGUUUUUGGCGCAGGACGAAGCCAAAAAGGUACGGAUAACGGAUUUUGAUUCGGUUUGUUCGUUUGCGUUUUUUUAAAAUAUGAUUAUUAGUCUUAUUUGAUCGAUGAUGAAAUUGGAGAUUCGAUUUGUUUUUGCAGUUCACUUUCAAUUUAAUGGCGAAACAUAUCAUGAGUUUGGAUCCAUGGAAGUUGGAGACGGAGAUGUUGAAGAAGGAGUAUGUGACUUUCAUGAAAGGAGUGAUUUCUCCGCCGCUGAAUCUUCCCGGAACGCCGUACAGACGAGCUCUUAAGGUAAUCGGAAAUACUAAUUUUGCAAUUGCACGACGGUUAUUUUAGGAGUUUGAACAUAGAGUUUCGGUUUUCGAUUUUCCAGUCUCGGUCGACGAUCUUGAAGUUCAUCGAACGGAAAAUGGAGGAGCGGAAGUUGAAAAUAGAAGCCGACGGCGGUGAGUUCGAGGAUGAUGAUCUACUCGGUUGGGCAUUGAAGCACUCAAAUCUCUCAACGGAGCAAAUUCUCGACCUAAUUCUUAGUUUGCUGUUCGCCGGCCACGAAACUUCUUCAGUCGCCAUAGCUUUAGCCAUCUUCUUCCUCUCCGGCAGUCCAGCUGCCGUUCAACAGUUGACGGUAAGUCACCGAAAAAGCUUCACAACGCCGAUUCCCCCUUUUCUUCUCUGAUUUCGUUCAAAUUACAGGAAGAACACCUGGAAAUCACCAGAGGCAAAAAGCGAUUGGGAAAAACAGAAUUGGAUUGGGAAGAUUACAAGAAAAUGGAAUUCACGCAAAGUGUAAUGAAUAAAUUCUUAUAAGUUAAAUUCAAUUUAAUUCAACGUUCUAUUUCUGAAAUUUUAAAUUGAAAUUUGUGAACUUUGGUUUGGAUUUAGGUGAUUAACGAAACGCUUCGUCUUGGAAACGUCGUGAGAUUUCUUCAUAGAAAGGCCCUGAAGGAUGUACGGUACAGAGGUAAGAAUUUAAAUAAAUAAGUGUUUUCAAAAAGAGAAAAGAAAAAGAAGUUAAAAAGCUGUUUGGCUCGACGGAAAAUUACCGGGAAAAUAUAAUUUCAUAAGUUCGAAUGAAUUAUUUAGGUAAAAAAAUUAUAAAAAUGUAUCAAAAUAUAGGUGAGACCAUAAGAGAUUAAGAUAGACAAUUCUGUCUUUAUUAUGACAGAGAUAGUUUUCUCUUUUUAAAAUAUUUUAGUUGAUUUUUCUAUAUUUAAAAAUAACUCAAUAAUUUAUUUAUAAUUUUGUGGGAAUUUUGAAAAAGGUUAUUUCAUUCCACGUGGAUGGAAAGUGCUUCCUGUGAUUUCUUCAGCUCAUUUGGAUCCUCUAGUUUUUGACCAUCCUCAUCACUUCAAUCCAUGGAGAUGGCAGGUUUGUUUCUUUCUUUCUUUUAACCUUCAAUUACUAUUUUAGUCUUUCCGUAAAUUUUGAGGAAAAUACAUAUUUAUAAUAUACUAAUUAUGGUUUCUAUAACUUAAGUCUCUCAACUUUGGGGGGAAGAAAAGUACAAGAUAGUUUAGAUGUAAUUAACAUUUAUUACUUUAUAUGUAAUUAACAUGUCAUGCACUACUUUAGUAGUUUCUUUUUUAAAAAGUACUACUUCAUUGAGUGCAUUAAAAUAAUGAUUUUUUAAGUAAAAAAGUUGCCUUUUUAGUUCAUUUGUUGAGUUUUUGAAGUAGUGUGAUUACAUUUUAAAAUAGAAAAAUAAUUUUAAUGGAAUAAUGCAAAGCGAUUAUAAAAAUAGUGUGUUUUGAAUACAUUUUUAAACAUUUAAAUUAAAAUUGAGUUAUUUUGAAAAAGUGUCUGACAACAAUUGAAAAUAACUAAACUGUAUUUUAAACGGUUUUUAUGAGAAAAUAAAUAUUAGGUUAGUAAUGAUAUAAAAUUUGUUGAUUAAGAAGUUAAAAGUCACAAUAUCAGUUAUAUGUAGUCCAAACCAUAAUGUCUUAUAUGUUAAUGUCUUUCUCAAACUUUUAUUUAUUAAUUUGUUUAUUAUAUUUAUUCAUUUGGAUGUUACCUUGUGAUUUGUUUUUCAUUUAUGUUAAUAUUCUGGAUUUAGACAUCUCCUUAGGAAAAAAAUGGUAUUUCUCUUUGGAUACAAAUCUCUUCUUAGGCUAUACAAUUUAUUGAAGACAAUGAUAAAUAAAAGUUUUUGAGUAGAACAUGAUGUGACAAAUCAAGUGAUCCCUAAAAGGGAGGGCAGGGUAGGGCUUGUAGGCUCUUUUGAGAUAUACGAUGCUAUUUUUCUUUAUAAUAAUUUUGAGACGUUGCAUUUAGAUGAUUAUUUUGGGAGAAUAAGCCAUUAUGUAGUAGGUAGGUACAUCCAAUAAUUUUUGGAAUUUGUUAGGACUAUUUAGUAGUCAUUUGAUUUUUUUUUCUUUCCUUUUUUAAAAUUAAAUCUAGAUAUACUAAUUUCAUCUAUUAGUUUUUAUGUUUCUCUUGGUAAGUUUAGGGGUGUUUUCAUAAUAAAAGUUUGAAAGUCGCUAAGAAUUCAAAUGUUUGUAUGGAAAAUAUGAACUUGAUGAUUAAUUAAAAUUAAGCCAUUUGUUAAAAAUAAAUAUCAUAGCAAUUUCAUGGAUUAGAAUAUAUAUUAUUGAUUAAGAGAUAUGAGGUUUGAUUUUCCAUCCUAUAUAUUGGUGUUGUCAAUACAGGCACAUCAUAUAUAUCAACUUUUUUUUCCUUUAAUAAAAAAUCCUCAGAUUAUUCUUUCCUUUAUUUUUUUAAAGUAAUGAUCAAUCUUGAGAUAAUGAAUACAUGUCAAUUAUCACUAUGCUAAUUUAUGUUGCUUUGUAGUCAUUAUACUUUAGUAUGAUUUGAUAUUUAACACUUGUAUAAAUGGUGAAAUUAAUAGUUAUGUGGAAAUUGGGAAUUGUACUGUAAGAGUGAAAUGGGAAAGAACAUUAUAAUUUAGGGGGAGAGCGGGGGGCCAAGUAGAUAUGAUCAGGCUUAUUGGGUUGAGAUGAUUAGAACCCCAUGUGGAUGGUGGGACACUCCCUUGCACGUGUACUGGUGCCUUUUUCUCUUCUGGAUUUAUGCAUAAACCUGGUCCCUCCCCAUCCCCAUAUAUAUAUUUUCCUUCCCCUCCAUGCCUUUCCCCCUUUUUAAAAUACCCUACUACUCAUUCAACUUUCCCAAUCCCAUUUGCCUUUUUCCUUCUCUUCAUUUUCUACACAUUUCUUCAUCUGUUAUCUUCGUGUCGGGCAAGACCCGUACCCGCUGUCCUGAUUGCAUUUAAUCCAUGCUCGAGGGUAUAUCAUAUUGUAUCUAAUCUUUACUCUAGUACUAGAAAUCAAAUUAAAAGCUUAAGUCUCGUUUGGUAAUCAUUUAUGUUUUGUUUGAUAACUACUUUUAUUUUUUGUUUCUUACUUUUUGAAAUUUAUGUAUGUUUGAGUAAAAAUUUCUUAGUUAGAGGUAAUUUAAGCCUUUUUCUUUUAAUUAAACUGUAGAAUAGUAGAAAUAAGGCUGUUGAUGCUAUGAGGGCUAUCUAUAUGGGUGAGGAUAGAAAUAUAGGUUGGUUACCUUUUUGCCUUUUGAUUUACUGUUGGACCUCUUUAUUAUUCUCAUCAUUUGUUGUUUUUGCCAAGAUUUCAUUGAAAUCUUGUCAAAUCAAUAACUAACAAAUCAACCAAAUCAAAUUUCAAGAAAAUGACCCUCUAACUUCAUUCCAUACCUAGCUUCAUAAAUUACAUCAUAGCUUGUUUAAUUAAGUUCUAACCUUUCAAUUUAACAUCUUAUAUGGAUACAGCAAAUGAAUGGUUCAUCAUUGGGUAUCCCGAGCACAACAAUAACCAAUAAUUUCAUGCCAUUUGGCGGAGGACCGCGAUUAUGCACUGGCUCAGAACUAGCAAAGCUUGAAAUGGCCAUUUUUAUCCAUCAUUUGGUUUUGAACUACCAAUGGGAAUUGGUAGGUUCAGAUCAAGCUUUUGCUUAUCCUUUUGUUGAUUUCCCUAAAGGUCUACCAAUCAGAGUCCGCCAUCGCACACUCAUGUAACUCUCUUGACUCCCUCGAUUCUACCCUCCAGAUUUUAGAGGUUGAAAAAAAAAAUCAUUAAAACAUGGUUAGUAAUAUUCUUUAUUUACUAGGAAUCAUUCCAUAAGCUCUACUACAUUGUUAAAUGUAUAUUAAACAAGUCAUUCGGUAAUUAUUGAAAUAUAUAAGAUGGUUUUUGUUCUGUUGUAAAACCUUCGUCGUAUUUCGUUCCAUAUAGCUUCUAUUGAAACGUUGCAUUUAUUGUGAGCCUUUCUGUGUGUAUUCUCUAUAUAAUCUUGAAUCCUAAUUAUCUUUAGGAUCAUCAUUUUUGUAAAAUUUAUUAGAUAACAUGAAACUUCAUCUAAAAAAACUAAUUAUAGUCAACUAAGAAUUGACAGUGAGGUAUUUUUUGGUUUGUCUAACGUGGGAAACUUAAUAUCACACGUCAUGAUAAUGCUUCUUUGUUCAUUGGUAGCACAUUAGAUAAUAUCAGAUUCUACAAGAAUGAAUAUUGUAUUCUACUGGUUUUGAAUGAGUAGUGAUUUAAGAAAGAAAGAAAAAGAAAUGAUGGUUGAUUGAACCCUCUGCUUUGACUCUGUGCAGAAAGGACAGAAACCUAAGUUUGAUAGGAGCACUUAAAACAUGGUGUUCUCUCUGACUUCUGUAUACUGUUUUCUGUUUUGUGUUCAGCUGAUUCUUUAGAUAAAUGAUAUUCUUUUGUCUUUUAAUCAGAUUGGAUUGGAUUGAAUUCAUACUUUUGCAUGUAUCAAACUGUCAUCUUUAUCUUUACAUUCAUUUUUUUCGUCUUCAAGGUUACUCAGUUUUGACACUUGUCAUUUUGCGACUGUCAUUGUUUCUAGUGCUUUUAGCAACACAUUUUCUUUGUUAUUACUUUUGUUACUCUAAUUUAAAGCUUACUUGUUAAAUUUGCACAUGCAGUUGCCAAAUAUGCAAGAAUAUUUGUUUAAAAUCAAUUUUUUUAAAAAAAAACCAUGAUAAAACAAUCUAACAAAAGAGGUGCAACCAAAGAUGACAUAUAAUAAUCUCACUUUCACUGAAAUUAACUUGACUUAAUGGUAUUGACAUGAUCUUCAACAUCCCUUAUAGAUAUUUGAUGUUCCAUCUUUCCCUUCACAAUUGUAGUAAAAUCAAUAAUAAUCUCACUUUUCGAUGCUAUUUAUAAGAAGGGUUCAACUAUCACAACCCCUUAGGGUUGUAAGGAACUAGCCAAAUACGACACCUAAAUAACGACUAUGUUUGUUGUUAAGAAAUUGACAAAUCAAAGAUAAACAGAAAAUGUAAACAAUAGAAAAUUAACGUAGAGAUUUACAUGGUUCACUAACACAAGUGUGUUAGAUACGUCUAUAAAUAGAAGAAGCGAAAAGUUUAACCUUAGAAAAUAUAAAAUUACAUAUAAGAGACACUUAGGAUUAAAGAGAAUACAACCUCUUAAACUCUAGGGCCACGAUUGUAAAUAGCAUAGAUACCAAAAAUACUCAUAAAAUUCUAAAGUAGGUAUCAAGUAUUGGACAAGAUGGUGAUCAAACAUUUAGUUAUUUCAGUUUAAAAGCUUUGUAUGUAAUAAGUUGAAAUCAAUUUAGGAAUGCCAUAAGCAGGGGCGGAUCCAGAAAAUUUAUUGAUAGAAAAAUAAAAAUUUGGAAAAAAAGUUACAUAAGAUUUGAAUUUUGGUUGGAAGAGGACUGACAAACAUAGUUACAACUAAACUGUCUAUAAAUAUUAAGUAUUAGUUGAUUUUGUUUAUACAUAUUAUAUAAAGACAAUAAAGUUGAGGGAAUUCAAGCUUCGUAGACUUAUAUUAAAUUAGUGGGUGACUAUAAGUUAAAAAUUUAGGAGACAAAUACGCAGAUGAUAUGUGAAAAGAAAAUUAAAAAGGGGAAAGCGACGGCACUGAAAUGUGAAUGAAUAUAUGUGUUGGAUUUGUAAAUUAAAGAAAAAAGCAUUUUCGUCACACACACAUAUAUGUAUAUAUGGUGUCAGCCCCACCCCUGUAUCUUUCUUCCCAUUUUAUUUUUCUUUUAUAAUACAAUAAUGCAGUUAAAUUUUAAAUAAAUAAAUUUUUAAAAAAUUGAUCUGACUAAUACAAACAAAUUUCAUACCCUCAAUUUGUUGGGAGGGGAAGAACCAAAUCCAAGAAUAAUUAACUAAUGAUGAAGAAUGGACAGAAGACGUAUGAUGGAGAAAAAGUGUAGAUAAUUUGUGAAUGGUGGGAGAAGGUCGAGAGGGAGAAGAAUGAAAAAAUUUAAGACAAUUUGUGAAAAAUUAGAAAAGUUGAGAGAAGAAAAAUGGAGAAUAAAAUGCUUAAGAAUGAAUAGGAAUGAAGAAGAUUUAAAGGAGAAAUUCACGAAAAAGCCUUUCUUUUUUUUUUUGUGACUUAUGCACGCAGACUCUUUUGACAUGACUAUACAUACAGACAUCUAAGCGCAUGUGUCGAGUCUAUAAUUCUUUCUAAAAGUAAUUAAGUGACUCGUCCUUCUUUAUUAUUUAUUUUUUAAAAAUAAACGUCACAAUCGACUAUAUUUUCGUAAUAAGUUCUAAAACAACAUUAUUCUUGUAAUAAAAAUACCAUAUUUUAGUAAUAUGUAUGCUUAUAUUUUUAUUUUUGUCCCUAUUUAUGUUUAUCGUUUUUUUUUUCUAUCAGUAACUAAAAUAUUUGUUUUAUAUAUGAGUUUGCUAUAUAAAGAUUAUGUUUGUAUAACGAGAUAUUAUAUUCAUUAGAUAAACAAGCGGUUAGAAGUUACGAAUCAAAAUAAAGUAUUUAGUGAUUUGUUUGAUAAUCUUUUUUUUUUUUUUUUUUAAUCGUUCGUCGUUUAAUGCUUUCAAAAUAAAUUUUGAAAUUUAAAAAACUUAUUUUUGUUUUUAGAAUUUGACGAAGAAUUCAAAAACCAUACUAUGGGACUAGAAAACAUAUAUAAUUUUCAAAAACAUAAAACUAAAAGUAAAAUUGUUAUCAAAUGACACCUAAAAUCUUAAAGAAUUGUGUGGUGGAAUUGAGCAUUUUGUGAAGUCGUUUUCGUGUAAGAUUUUGUUAGAUUUGAAUAAGAAUGAAAAUCUUAUUCGAUCUCGUAAAAUUUUUGUUUUAAAUUAAAUAAAGAUAAAACAUGAAAUUUGUACGGGUAUCUACUACAUAGAAAGGAAAUAAUAUUGGAAGUAGUGUUAGUACAUUUCAUUUCAUAGAACUUUUAUCAAACAUAAGUAACAUAUAAAAAUUACACAUAGAUUAUUAAGUUUGAUAAACAUUACCUAAGGUAUAUAUUGGGGUAGUGUGUCCGAAAAAAAUAGUUUCACAAAUACGAAUGAUAAGCAAUUACAAUAGAGUGUUUACAUGUAAUAGUAACAAGGUUACAGCGUCUCUUGAACAACGUACUCAAUCAGUCAACCAUUCACCUAGGCUUCUACUAGAUUUGAGACUACUUGUUCUUAAAUGCCACUUAGGCUCUCUCUGAGAUGUAAUAUAGUGAAGAAUUUCUUAAGCUCCUCUUAAGAUAGAGACUCUCCCUUCUCAAUUAAGGACUUAAGCUCCCCUCAAGUCGUGAGACUUCCUCUCACUCAAACUUUAUCUUUCCCUCUAGAGCAAACACAACUUCACUCGUACAGCUUAGGCAAUGAUCAAUAAUUUGGAGUAUAUUUUCAAACACCACUUAUAUCUAGACGAUAAACAUACUAGCUACGACUAAAUUCAUUUUCUUAUUAAAAUAAAAGUUAUCGAGAAAUACGGAGUUUUCGAAAGGGAAAAGAAAAACAUUAGUUCUUUGUUAGGUUUCUUUUCGUUUUCUUUCAUUGAUGAUUUGAGUUUGUAAUAAAUUUGGUCAAAGAAAGUUUGUAUGGUCAUCAAACUUGCACGUUCUCUCCAUUUCAAUACUUUUAUUUCACGAACAACCAUUUCCUUUUUAUUAUUUAUUACCCUUUACUUUCUCUUUUUUUACUUUGCUUUUUGUCCAUUCUUUAUGAUUGUUGAAUAGACUUCAUUGUUUUCCAUGUCAGUAUCUCAUCAAUCUUCAACUUUCUAAAUAUUUAAUGAAAUAUAAUAAAAUUUUAUAUUUUAUGCGUCAUUAUAUUGUACUAUGAAUCUCUAGCUAUUUGUGAUACUGAUGAUAUCACUCGUAAAAUCUAAAAUUUUACUAUAUUUUAUAAAUAUAUUCAAUCAUUUGUCUUUUAUAAUAUUUUUUUAUAUUUUAAUAAUAAUAAUUGCGUUGGUUUUUUAUUUUUGAAAAUUAAGUCUAUAAAAUACAUUUUUACCUUUAAUUAAAUUUUUUGUUUUGUUAUCAAUUUUUUACCUCUUUACAACUCAACUCAAUCCAAUCCAAUCCAAAUUUUUAGAAAAAGAUAGUAUUUAAAACAUGUUUUUGUAUUUGAAAUCCAUCAAAGAAUUCAACUAUUUUACUUGAGAAAUAUAUAAACCAUGAUAAGAAGUUUAGAGAAAAUAGACUUAAUUAUAGGUAAAUGGUAUUAGUUGACAAUUUUUUUUAAAAAAAUAAGCUCAUAAUACAUAUUUUUUACCUAUUGCAAAUUUGAGAAAUAUAACGAUAAUUAAAUUUACUAUUUUUAUAAUUUUGAAAAUGUAAGUGAGAUAGAUUUUAUUAUUAUUAUUAUUUUACUAUUUUUGCAAACUACCCAUGAUUAUAGAUAAUUAAAGACAAAAAAUCAAAUAGAUAACUAAACACGUCCUAAAAUUUUAAUUUUAUGUGAAGUAAAUUACUUUCGAAAUAUUGAAUAAACCAAAAAUUUAAAUAUUCUACAUGGCACAAAAUUAAAAUUUAUGGAAUUAAAACUUAGAAACCUAUUUAAUAAAAAAAAAAAGUCUAGUUUGACAUUUGUGGAAGUUUAUAAACAAAAAAACAAAUAAAGUUCAAUCACUAAACUUGUUCUUUUAGGCUUUAGAAUUAUAUUAGGAACACUUUACAAAAAAUAUUGUAAUAUAAAUAUUAUUUCUUUAUAUUAAAUUACAAAACGAAGCCUUAAACACUUAAAUGUAUAAUAAAAUUUUAACAAAAUCUCCCCUUUUAAAUUAACACAUAUAUCAGAUAGUAAAAUUGAACAUUGUUUCUAAUGGACUAAAUUCAUUUUUGCAACAAAUACAUUCGUGGUUCGUUUUUACUUCUUUUUUUUUUCAAGAAGUCAAAUAUGUCACAAACCUAUUCGAUACCAAUGUCAAAAGUUCAAUAACUUUAGGAACUAAACUUAUAAUUUAAGUUAAACUUUAUAAUAAACUAUGAUGCUCCACAUCCCAUACCAAUAUAGUAAAAGAAAAGAAAUGUAUUGUAGAACACAACCUUACUACACACUAUUUUUUUCCUUUGUUAAUAAAUAUUUAAAGCUAUUGGACCCUUAUAUUAUAUUGACAAUUGACAUUGCUAAAAAUCAAUAGAAAUAGGGUGACAAUUUUCCUAAAGGAAAAGAGUGGCACGUUUAAGUCUAAUAGUAAAGACAAAAUGGUGUUAUUUUCAUAAAUUACAUGAGAAAUUAAAGUUGGCCCCCAAGCCACUAGAUGUAGAGAAAAGGAUGAGGUUAGAUUAUGUAGGAGAACUGCAAUAUGAGACCUUGAAAGUAAUCUUUGUAGAUAUGUGUUGAUGAGUGGAGGAGGCUUGAGAAAGAGAUUUGUAAUAAAAAUAUGAGGAACAACUAAUUUGUAUUUGGUAAGUGAAGAGAUGGAAUUGGAAAAUGGUUUGAGAUAAGAUUUCUAAGAAAGAAAAUAACAUGACAAGAUAUAUAAGGACAAGUUUCACAUGGAUAUUUAGAUUUAGAACACGAUGUGACGAGUUAAAAAAAAUACGUAUGGUUGUGAAUAGAAUUCCUAUUUGGAUCGAAGUUGAAGUUAAAGCAACCAAAAUUUAGUGGGAAAAUGUGUUGAAUGAAAAAUUUAUACUAUCAAUCAUUUUAGGUGGUUAGGGUUUUGUAUGUUACUAGUGGUGGAUUGGAAUUAAUUUCAAAUUAAAAAGUAAAGCUUGACAAUUGGAUCAUACUAAGCUUAGUCUAAUCAAAAUCAUCCUAUGACAAUUGAGCCUAAAGAAUACGAUUAAAAGAUAUUUGGCUCUCCACAUUGAGUCGAGAAAAGUUGGUAAAAAUUAUUAAUUCAAAUCAACUCUCUCCAAAUAUUUCUAAUUAUUCUACCUUUUGGUCACCAUGAACAAUCAUUGUUAACUUAACAUGCAACAACAAAUAUCACAUCCAUUAAUCAACUCUAGACGAAUGAAAACAUCUUUUUUAAAAAAAUAACCAAACACGUGGAUAAAGAUGACCUUCUGAAAGGAAAUCUAAAUAUACAACAAUUCAAAUAAGCUCUUUGGCAGACUCAUUAACCUAUGAAACAUAACAAAAACAUAAAAAGUUCAACAGAUGUUUGUAUUUUUUACUGUUUGUUAUAGGUUUUUGACUGAUAUACAAUUGGAAGUUUAAAAUUUUAUUUGACAAAUUUUAGUUUUAUAUCUAAUAUAUUUGUUAAGUAAAAAUAAAGGUAAAAUACAUUUUUGAUCCAUAAGAUUUAAAAUUAAUUUUGUCUUCCGUCAACUAACACUUAAUGUGACCUCAAGGACCAUUUAAAACUAUUUCUCAAAUAUUGUGAACUAAAGUGUUUGAUUUGAAACUUGAGGUAUCAAAUAAACAUCAACUUCAAACCUUUGAAAACAAUAAAAAUAAUUAAACAUUUCUUUCUCAGGAGCGGAAGCGGAGCCGUAGCAUAGCGGAAACCAACAGAGACCAUAGUUAACUUAACAUAGGUUAUUUAGUACUGAAAGAAAAAAAUUGCUAUGUAUUGUGCCAUGUACAUUUAUCCUAAGCUCAACUAUAGUCUGAUAAUCAAUCUAUCUUCUAAUAUUUCAAACACAAGAAAUGGCAACUCCAUACUUCUUGAUUUCCUUUUAGAGGUUAAAAAUUCUAAAUAUCUAAUUCAAAUUUGUUCUCGGUUCUCCUCAACCAGUUGUACCCAAAUUGCCUAGAAUGGGAAUCAAUAGUUUUCAUGAAAGUUUCUAUGGCCAUUGAAACUCUGCUCUGAAGAUUUAAAAAAUUAGAUUUAGAAGACAGCCUUCACAAAUUGUUAUCCCCAUGCCUAAAACAGAACUUGCUGCCCUAAUUAAUUUUGCAUGCUCAGCAACUAAAAAACACCAAAAAUUGCAUGCAACAGAAGCCCCCAAAAUACAUACACUUUCCCCAAGUCCCCAAAUCCUACAACACUAUUGUUAACAGUUUAAGAGUUAAGUGUAGAGAGUACCCCUCCUGUUGAAGCUGGUAUCACCACCUCCCAUCCAGGCCCUUUGAGAGGGUAUAAAUUGCCAGAAACUUUAGAUUUCUCAUUGUCUGAACCAGUUGGGACAAUCAGAUCGGAGCGGUCUAAGAUACGUUCCAAAUCAGCGUCGCUAAUCUCUGUCUGUAUCAUCUUGUCUUCAGCAGAAUCUUCCUCCCUUAGUAGUGCUAGUAUAUCCUCUUCCUAAAAAGUCACACAAAAUCGAGUAAUGCACGUGCAAUUGAACGGUGAUGUGGUAAGAAACAAUGGAAUUUUUUAUUGCAGGCAUAAGAGAUGUUGGUCAGCCAGAAACACAAACAAACCUCCUGUGCGAAAGAGCCGCUUUCAUAACAAUAGAGUGAAAAGAUAAAGGGUUCGUAGUGGUGGCGAUUUACAAUAACAAAUUCAAACACAUUAAUUGAGAAUCCAAGAAUCUGAAAACCAAUUCAAUACACUCCUUGGCUCUCUACCAAAAUUUCUACGAAGUCCAAACAUCACGACUAUACUCAACUAUUCAAAAGUAAAAUGUAGGCAGUGAAGAAUCAGAUAAAAUGAAUCGAAAUGUGUUUAACAAACCUCUACAAUAUCUGCAGCGGUGGGUUUUGUUCGUUCCUGGUGGAAUUGGCCUUUCUCGAUGACCACGUGCUCAAGCUUCAAUUUACUAAAGGCCCUUUUCAGAAUACGGCCCUGUUAAGUCAUAUCCACAGAAUACUAAUGAAUACCAUCAUGAAUAUACACACCAAAAGAGUAAAACCAACAGCAAGCUACCUCUAUAGAUUGAGCUGUUGCAAGUCUGUAAACGUGUACAGGUUUUGAUUGACCUAUCCUGUGACACCUAUCCAUGGCCUGCAAAUCCAUUUGUGGGUUCUGCCAUACAUAUGCAACAUGGUGAGUCAAUUGCAAUGCAGAAACUGGCAAAGAAAAAAAGGUGUCGAGAAAGGUACCCAAUCGCUAUCAUAGAGUAUACAAGUAUCUGCUGCAGUAAGGUUGAUACCCAGACCACCAGCCCGGGUGCUUAGAAUAAAUAUUCUGUAGUUGCUGUUAACAUCAUUGAACUCCUGGAUCUACACGUAGAAAACUUAAAUUGGUUAAUUAUGUAAUCCUUAAUGCACCAUCAUAUCACCAACACUAUCAUGAUGGAAAAAUUUGCAAAAUUUCUAGUCUACUGUCUACCUGCGGCAUGUAAAGGAAAAUUCAAUUAAUUAUUACAUAAAACUGAAUAUAACCAAUUUCUAGUCUACUGUCUACCUGCGGCAUGUAAAGGAAAAUUCAAUUAAUUAUUACAUAAAACUGAAUAUAACACAUUUUGUAGCAUGCAAGUAACGAUUAAUCUCAAAACUCAACGUUUCUCAAGAUCCCAACAGAACCUACUAAAGUAGUAGCACAAAGCAACAGAACACAGAAAAAUAAAAUAGAAAAGCAUCAACACACAAAGUAAAAUGCAGGGCAGUAUUGAAAUUUUUGAACCAGACAUUUAUUGUACAAAAAAUGAGUCAGUUGGAAGGCAUAUGCAUGCACGUAGACUAGGAAACACUCAUCUGCACCUUAGAAACCUUGCUCCAAUCAGGUGAGGUGACCUCACCGAGGCAGGCAUCAUCUGCGCCAUAGUGAGGUCCACAAUUCUGUUUUUCUUUUAACAAUGUCUUAUUCUUUGAUUUCUUCUGUGUAUAUCCUCCAUUAUAUUAUUAGCUAUUUCUUCUGCUUUCCACAGAAAUGCUACCACCCCAUAGAAUCAGAACUCCCGUCUCAAUAUGCUAAAGUUGCGAACUCCCCUCCCCACAUAUGAUUGCCAUUAUACUCCUUCCAUCUUACAAACUGUCCGCUUAACACAAAAAUUUACCGCCUUUUGGAUAUGUCCACUAUAGCAUGCAAUGACUUAAACAUGACAUUUAGAAUCGUCCUUUGGGUAAAUCAGUUCACUAAACUCUUUUGGUCCUCAACAAGUUGGCGUGACUGUAGAAAGUACUUUUUACCACGGUGCUUCUAAUUAGAACUACUUUUCAAAAGUAUUGCAUCUCAAAAUGUAUUUUUAAAAAUUUCAAGAAAAAACAUUUAUAAUGCUCUUAGGUUUCCCUUUCCUCACUACGAAAGUACUUUCAAGAAAACUAUUUCACUUGAAUAGAUUACUUUCAAAAUUUAUCGAAGAAACCAAAUCAGUUCAAAUAGAAAUUACAAUAGUGUUUCCGAUUAUCCAUGAAUUCUUGCUUGGACCAAAUUCUAGCACGACUCCGUUAGUAAUUUCAUCUGCUUUGCUAUACCUAGCUCUCAAAGGAUCUUGGUCAAAGAAAUGCACAUGUGUAUGUAUAUUUUCCAUUGAUGACGUAGCUCUAACAUAACAGAUACAUGGAACAUAGUUCUUAGGUACAAUGGUGUCUGAAACUGACAUCAUACUGAAACAUUUUGGCAUCUAUAAUGUGAAAAAAGCUGGGAUGGAGGGCAAAACAAGACCAACAACACAUAACACAACUGACUUUAAAUUGUUUGGAUAUUUCAUGUGAAGCUCAUACCUGUCUUUUUCUUUCAUCAAGUUUCACGCUACCAUCUAUUCUGCAAACUUCAAAUCCCUUCUCACUAAAAUAGUAAUCCAUGAUAUCCAAAAUCUUAGUCCAUUGCGAGAAGAUAAGGACCUAAUAGAAAUGCAAAGUAGGCAAUUAGGUUAACUAGGCGAAACCCAUAAGAAUGACUAAACGAGAUUUAUAAAGCAAUUCACUUUAUGCUUGCGUUCAAAUAGCCGUGUCAACAAUCUAUCUAGUAAGCGAAAUUUGCCACACUGCUCAACUAGCUGCUCUACAGGAGGGUACGCAUCUGUGAGGAAAAAAACAUAGGAUUAAGAGAAAUCUUAUAAUACAUUUUUAACACGAUAGAUUGAAGAAUAAGAGGAAGUUACAAGAAUCAUCAAAGACUGAUUCCAAGAGAUCAGGAUGGUUGCAAUUUUUCCGAAGCUGAACCAUCAAAUUAUUAAGCUUUCCUUUAAAACCACGUCCUGCAUUUUCAUAAACAAAUUACCACAAUCAUCAAAACAUAAUAUGGAACAGGGUAUAACAAAAAAAUCAAUUCUAUCAUCAAAUUGUCCACAGAUGAUUUUUUCCAAUAUAUUAUUGGUUAGAUUCUUUCAUUUUGCAAAUCAGUUGUGACAAUGAAGUGUAUUUCUUAACAAACAAAAUAUACAAAAGUGUUAAAGCAAAAAUAGAAAUCUGAGGACAUUUUGUCAAACCUUUGGUCAAAUAUUGGACAGAUUGUUCGGUUCUUAUUUUUCAAAAAUAACAAAACCAUCUGAUUCAAAAAAGUUCAAGCAAACCAAGAAGUACCGACUCUGCAGGGAAAAAGCCAUCAACACUAGUAUAAUCUUAGAGUUCCAUGACUUUAUCUUGAACAUUAGAGCAGGAGAGUUAAAACGAUAGAAACUUAUCCCUGAACCCCCUGGCUAUUUAGCAACUUCAAAGCCAACUGGCAACCAAGAGAAAAUAUCAUCUUGCCCGUUAUAUACUAUAUGAUAACUGAUAAAACAGAAUAACAAAGAAAAUAUACUGCAACAUAAUUGGCAGUAACAACAAGCACGUUGGAUUUGUAUACUAAUACUCAAACCCAAUGCUAAACUACCUGAUCCCUUCUCACAGAGAUGAUUUUCCAAUGUCUUGUUAACUAAAUGUUCCUGAAAGUUCUUCUGAUAUUCAGUCAUGUUUGCAUACAUUAUAAUUUCUUUCUUCCGAGGAAGCAUCAGCUCAACGUCAGAUUUCAUUCUCCGAAGUAGAAAUGGUCUCAGUAUUCCAUGCAGUUUUGCUACCACCUGCAGGAUUUGAAUAUCUGAAAAUGACAAACUUAUGCAACAUACGAUGCUGGAAAAAGUAUCAAAAGAAUUACCAACCUGGGCCUUUCUGUUCUCUUGUGUUUCUUCUUUUUCUUCAGCAUGGGACUUUCCAGAGAGAUCAAACCUAAAAACAAAUUGUUCGGAGCAAAUUAAUUUUGAAUAUGGUAAUAAUAAUUGUUUGAUCCCCUGCAUCUACAAUCUCAACAAUGACUUUUAAGGUUUAUGCUACUAUUCUGUUAUUUCUUUCUUAAAACAAAAUGCAAACUUCCAGAGGCUUUAAACUCACAUCCACUCCGUUAUCUUGAAUAGAAAAACAAAUCUGAAGAAUAUAAGCAUCUAUAGAUAGAUAAAGCAUACUAACCAUGACUCAAAUUCUUCACUUGAAGAAAAAACAUCUGGUAAAAUAAAGUUCAACAAUGACCAAAGCUCUGCCAAAUUAUUUUGCAGCGGUGUCCCUGUUAGAAGCAGUUUAUUUUCAACAGUUAUGUACUUCAACUCCUUCAGCAAUUUGCAUUUUGAGUUUUUAAGCCUAUGCCCCUUCAAGAAAAAUGUUUAGAGGACCAUCAGUUAUCAAAAUUCAUGAAUUAUAUUUUAUAAGAGACGUUAGAAGCAUGAUUAAAAUGGCUGACCUCGUCAACAACAAGAUAUUUCCAAUUGUAAUGCCUCAAAACUUUUCUAGCAUCACUCAUUGCAAUCUCAUAAGAAGUAACCACUAUGGGGAAUUUAGGUCCAAUCUUUCUAGGCAUAGACUUUCUACGAAUCUCAUCCCUUUGUUUUUUGUCACCAUGAUAAAUAAUAGCAUUCACGGUAGGCACAAAUCUACAUGCAGACAUACAAACAAAUGAAAAAUAAGGUGACAAAACAAUUCUAUUGUUAAAAGAUAAACAAAGUUAACACAGGAGAGUACCUCGAUAUUUCAUUUAUCCAAUUUGAAAGUGUGGAAAGAGGAGCAAUUACUAAGUAAGGUCCAUCCAGUCCCUUCCCCUUCAAAUGUGCAAGGAAGCCAAUGGUUUGAAUUGUCUUACCAAGACCCAUUUGAUCUGCAAGGAUUCCAUUCAGCCCAUUCUGCCAUAAUGAAAUCAACCAUUUGACACCUUUGAGUUGGUAGGACUUCAAUUUGCCACCCGUCAAUAGAGGUACAAGUUCACUCUGCUCCUUUUCAAUUCUUUCUUCCCCAGUCAAGUUUACAUCUUCAUCCUGCUCACCUUCCUUUGAUCUAGUCAGCAUAGCUGCAACAGCCCUUUUUGCCUUCUUCUAAAAACAUUUUCAUCCCAGGUUAGAAUUCAUUUAACAAUAUACUAACAGUACUGAAGUAAUAAAACAUAUAGAAGAUUAAGUUCAAUUAAAAACACGUUACCUGAGGUUAAAACGUCAAAUUUAAAAAGGUUUUGAAAAACCCCCCUAGAUGUUAAGACAAAAGAAGCACGUAAUUCUUACAUUGUUAUAACGAGCAGCAGCUUUCCUCUUUGAACCACGCCCACUACUCUUCUCAACAGAUUUCUUGUCUUCCUCCAUUUCACUCUGGUAAAUAGUUGAAAUCAAAAUUCAACGAGGAGCAGAAAAGCAGCAUAACUUUAAAAUGCAUAAAUUAUACAGCACAUAGACAUACAAAUGUGAUGUCAUCCAUUUUCUCCAACAAAAAUUCUGAGUAUAACUGUGUUUGAGUGAGAAGUUCAUCCAAUUUGGUAAACUGAUUGUCGCUCAACUUUUCAGAUUCUGUUGAAUCCUCAAGUCUUUUUGCUUCCUCUUCCUUGACCCGAGCUUCCAGCAAUUUCUGUUCCUCCUCAGCCAUUUCUUUUGAUAUAAGACUGGAAUCCCCAUUUUUUGCUUCCAAAAUGAUUUCUUCCUCCAACUUGAUCUCCUUUUCCCCAUUACAUAAAUCCUUUGUGAAAAAGGUAAAAAAAGAAGUCAUAAACCAAUUUGGUGCAGCAUUAGAAAAAGGGAUACCGGUUCAGUAGGAACUGGAUACACCAUACUCGAAAUAUUCACUACUGGAAUGCAUAACAUGCAAAAAUAGCUCAUUUGAGCACGUUACCAAAAUAAUGCACAAGAAAACAAACACGUAGGAAUGAGGAAUCUCAAGUAUACCACAUAUUCCCUUCCGUUUAAUCCAACAUUGUCAAGAAGUUGGAAGUAUCUCCACCAUGUCUAAGUGAAUUUCACCACAAACGUUACUCCAUAUCAGUCAGUGCUAAUAAACAAACAUGGUCUCAAGUGCCAACACGUUAGCCCUAGGGAAAAAUGAAAAAUCUUCUAACUCACCGUUAUGACAGGAAGUAAUUAAACGAAAAGGAGAGUAAAAGGAAAAUCUUUCUUUUUCCCAUGCGGCUGUUAGAAGAAAAACGAGAGAUUAAUCCUUAUGCAUUAAGAUAAUUAUUCCCAGAAAGCUCCCUUUUCUCCUUUAUUCGUAUGAACAAUCUACGUCUUCAAUAAUAAAAUAUAAUUUCAGGUACAGAAUAAUCCUUUUAUCUUAAGCAACAUUUAAAAGUUCUUCUCGAAAGCAGUUAAAAACACGAAAUCGACUCUUUUCUUACCCGCUAAAAUAUCCACAUAAAGUUGUUUCCAAUGUCAAAAGAAUCACGAGGCACAAAAAAUAAACAGAACGCAAAGCCAUAGUAAAGAAAGCGAACAUACCUCAUCUUCAAGAACCGAAGUCGGUGACUCUGCGGAAUUAUCGGCUCUUGGUUUCUCCUCGACAGCCAUUUUCAGCCCUAAAAUGAGUGCCAAACAGUUAACAGAAAGCAGAUUAAAAUCUACAAACAAAUAAAAAUGACUUGAGGGAAAGAAACGGCCUAGUGAUCUUCCUAAGAAGCUGUAAAGAGUGAGAAGAGUUGAUUCAUCAUAAUCACUGAAUUUCUUACCGCUCAACAAAUACAAAGACGAAAAUCCGGAAGCAGAAGGAACCAAAUGCACAAUACAAAAUGGAACAAAAUUUAGAUUUCGAGUUGGGAUUAAGCAAGAAAUGAAGAAAACUUUAGACGGAAACGGGCAUGGAAAAUGGAUCGUCGUCAAGUUUGCGAAGAAGCUGGGGAGUUCUGUAAUGCUAGUUUUGUUUUUUUAUUUUUUUAUUUUCUCCAUUUUCGUGGUUAGGGGUUUUAGGCGGGAAAUAUAUUGACGUUUUCGGAGGCUGAAAAAGUAUUUAAUUACGAAAAUACCUCCUUACUAUUGGUCUAUUUGUCAGUAUAGGGUUAUGGGUAAACUUUAUUUAUUAAAACUUAAAAGCAUGAGAGAAAAAAUCGCUUAAUUUUGUUUGCAUGGAAAAUAAAUGGAAAAUAAUUGUAUAUAAUACAAUUAACCAAAAUAUUUAUAAAAUAUAAUCAAAAUUUAGAUUCUAUUAACAAUUUUAUUAAGGUCUAUAAGUUAGAUUUUGAUGAAUUUAAUUGAUUGUAUCGUGUCAAAGAUGUUGAUCAAAAUUUUGAUUUUAUCAUCGAUCCUUUUUUAGUAAAUUUUUUCGAAAUUAUUGAUGAACAUGCCAAUGAUCCUUGAUGACAAUGUUGAGGUUAAUCAUGAAAAAUUUCAAUUAGAAGUUAAGUAUGAAAAAUCUUAUUUAAUUUCUAUGAACUAAUCAAUUUUCUCCUCUUAACAAUUUUGGUUUGAAUAAAAAUCAUCAUUCAUAAGCAAAAUAUAAAAAGAUCGUUGAUGAGUUGAAAUUGGUUGAUGAGAAUUAUUUUGAUAAUAAUAGUUAUUUUAGUUCAAUGUAUUUUGAAUAUCACAUUCUUUUAGUUCCUCUCUUGAUAAGAUAAAUUUAGAGCGUCAAUAAAUUUUGAUCGAGCAAUAAGAUUUCUCUCCUCUCAAGUCGAAGAGCUUGUAUUUCUAUCAAGUGGCUCUCGUGCCUCCUUUCGACUCCAAAUUGUUUUCCUUCUGAUUUGAGAUAUUUUUUAUAUUUUUGUAUAAACUUGUUUUAGUUACAAUAUAAAAUUAUAUUUCAAUAUUUUUGUUUGUAACAAAGGUAAGAAAUGGUUAGAUUUUCUCCUUCAAUUUGUGAACUUGCAAUUCACUAUACUUUGCCACUAUAAUCUCGACCAGUGAUGAUAAUAAUAUGCAUUGCAAAAACUACCCUUUACUCCAUGUUACAUUGCCACAUUAAAAAACCACCUAUUUAAUUUGUUUUUAAGUUUCAUUUUUUUCCAAAGAAAAAUAAUAUAUAAAAACAAUAUUGUUUAAUCAAAAUAAACCUACAAGGUUGAAAGAGCUAUAAUUAAACUUUAACCCACGUCAUAUAUUAGUUGAGCUAUAUCCAUUCCGAUAAUCAAACUAUAAUUAGUUGAAAACAUAUGUUCGUUGCAAUAAUUUAGGUUGAGAAUCAUAAGUUAGAUCAAAAAUCAAGAGAACGACACACACUCCUUACAAGAUAAAUGAAUUAUUAUUCUCAUUGUCAACUGAUUUUUGAAAUAAAACUUCAUACAUGCUAUCAAAGUCCAUAAAGCCCAAUCGGAUAUUCAUCCAAUAAAAUGAAACUAAUCCGAUCAAAAUUGGUAAGUCCAAAGAUACAUCAUCUUAAGAGAGCAUGUUGAGAAUCUCAUAUUGAAUGAAUCAAGUAACGACUCACAAUAAACCUUAUAAGAUAGAUAUAUAUAAGUCACUUCCCCUCAUUGUCAAUUAAUUUUGAAAUGAAACUCUAUACUAUCAAAUAAUUUACAAAUUUAAUCACCGGAGGUCUUGUAAACUAAACACUAGUUCAGUCUCAGUUGAUGUAAUUUUAGUUUAAUUUUUGCAUACAAACCAUAAAUUGAUUAAGAACAAGAAAGCAUGACAAAAGAAAAAAGAGUAGAAAAUACUGCAGAAAAUAAUAUAAGGUGUGUAUGAUUGAUGAAACAAACAAUCAAUCAAUCCUCCAAAAAUGAAGACACAACAUAUCUACAGAUAUUAUGACGAUCAAAACAAAACCUAAACAAAAUUUAGAAAGAAAAACAAACUUUAAUAAAACCACAUUUGAUCCAUAUCCUUCUUGGUUAUUUGCCACGAUCACCACAUCACAGUUUUCAAUCGACCAUAGAAAUUAAAACAAACUCAUAUAUUUAUCCUUUUUUGUUUCCCCCUUUUCCUAUGUAAUUAAACAAACUUGAAUUUUGAUAAAUAUAUUAGUGACAAAAAAAAAAAGAUUAAAAGAGCGGCCUUUGGGUCCCGGGGCCGGGAUGGUUCAUUUCUCGGGAAUCGUUGCUUGAAGUUGCAAGUUCACUGCUGUCGUCGGACAAAGCGAUCUUCCUAAAUUUCGACAUGUCAGCAUGGUAGGCGCUAGAAUCGUAGUCGGAGCUAGUGGCGCUAAAGAUGGAGCUUUGGCCUGGUCUCGUGCCUUCGUUUAAGUCGUCCAGUGAGACAUCUCCUUCUAAAGCUCGAACCACUUGGCUCAUUUUUGGGCGUUUUCUAGCCGAGUGGCGUAUGGAGGCUGCAGCACAAGCCACCAUUCGAGCCAUUUCUUGUGUGUUGAACUCUCUCUCCAAACGUAUAUCCACCAACUCGUCGUAUAUCCCUUCCAUUAAUGCUCGAGUCAUUAGUGGUCGAGCCUACAUUAUAAAUCGUCGAUAAUGUCAAUUAUUUUGGUUAAACUUGUAAUCUGUUGUACAUUAAUUUGGACUUUUUAAACUUUUAAUUUAAACUAUGUUUUAUCACAAAUGUAUCAUGCACUUUUUAAAUGGAAGACGUGUUGAAAGUUGAUAAAUUAAACUUGUUAAACUUUUUUGUAGUUAAAGAGUUAAAUUUGUAAAGUAGACUAUUUGUAGGAGGUAUACGUACCCAAUCAACUAAGCUAUCCUCCAUCGUAUGUGUAGGAUCUACAGGACGUUUUCCUGUAAUGAGUUCCAACAACAUUACACCAAAUGAGAACACGUCAGACUUUUCUGUUAGCUUUCCGCUUGAUGCGUAUUCUGGUGCCAAAUACCUGAAUUAAUUAUAUGUACCAGUAUAAACAAAAACAUUAAUCCCUAUACAACAUUUUUAGUUAGACAUGCAAGCAUAACUCAACAACACACAUGUUUGUGUUACUAAAUAAGAGGCGUGGUUUAAAUUUUACUUACCCGAAUGUACCCAUGACUCUAGUUGAGACGUGUGUGUGAUUAUCCGUAGACAACUUAGCCAAUCCAAAAUCAGCCACCUGAAAUUAUCAUGCCCCAUCGAACACAAUUAGGCUUGAAUUCUCAUCAAUGUAACACAAACUAUAUGUCAAUUGAUAAACUAUUAUUCAACAUGUCGGGUUUCUUUAUUAAACAUACCAUAGCUUCAAAAUUGGCAUCGAUCAGAAUAUUAGCUGACUUGAUAUCUCGAUGAAUAAUCUUUGGAUGACCUGAAAAGAAGAAGUUUUCAUAUUUCUUUGUCAAUUAUUCUAUGAAGUAUGAAAUAUAUAUUAUAUUACUCUUUAUUAAACAAUUCCCGAAGGAGAAGGAAAGAGUGUUGAAAAUAAACCUAAAUUUCAAAAACAUGAAAUUAAAGGCAAGGGUGUUAUGAAAUUGGACAAUAAACCAUUAGUACUUAAUUACAAUAUAUUUUUAAACUAGCCAUUAAGAGAAAUUCUAUAUGUACAAGUUAUAAAGUCGGUUUUGACAGCUAAAGUGAAUUUAACUCAAGAGUAAUUGAUACGAUAUAUCAUUUUUGAUGUGGAGGUUUUGAUUCUCCCAUCCACACAAUUAGCGUACCAUAAAAGAGAAAAAAUUCUUACAAUCUUCGUGAAGAUAAGCAAGUCCCUUGGCAGAACCUAUGGCAAUGCGAAGUCUAGCGGGCCAAUCCAUUACUGGAAGACCUUUGGCUGAAACCAAAAUUGAGUGAUAGAAUUAACUUUCAAAGGUCAAUAAAAUCUUUAAAAAGACAUUUAUUUUCUAUAUUUGUUCAUUACAGCUUGAAGGAAGUUAAAAAUUCAAACACCUAUAUUAAUUUUAAAAGUUAAAAACAGUUGGAAUCGUUUGAUAAAAUUGCAUAAAAGCACAGAAAUAGUUACGGUUUCGUAUCUAAACUAAAUUUUCUUUAAAAUAGGAAUGGAAUUUGCAUAAUUUAAGGGAUAAAGUAAUACCAUGAAGAUGAUGCUCCAUUGUAUUGUUAGGAACGAACUCAUAGACCAACAUUCUUUGUCCACCAGCAAUGCAAAACCCAACCAAAGACACCAAAUGCCGAUGAUGGACUCUACUAAUAAUCUCAACUUCAGCCAUGAACUCCCUCUCACCCUGCCCACUGCCCACCUUCAAGCUUUUCACUGCCACUUCCUUCCCAUUGGGCAGUACCCCCUUGUGCACAUAACCGAACCCACCCUGCCCGAGUAGGUUUCCAUGAGCAAACCCACCUGUUGCUGCAGCGAGUUCGUCGUACGUGAACGUGCUCUUGUUGAACCCAAAAGCAAUCGAUGGUGAUGGUGGAGGAAGAGGAGGCCCUGCAUAGGAGCUACCUGUCGUCAUGUUCUCGCCGCUCAUUGGCCACCCAGUCCCGGCCGGAGACCCCGAUACUGGUGGCCUCCCAAAUUGAUCCGUCCCGGGACCGUGCAUGCCGUUGUGCCAGUUUUGUUGUUGCUGUAGUGAACUGUUGUAAUAGUCACCACCUGCAUGUUAAUCAAUGUCAUGAUAUAAACGUAAGUAGUUGUCUUUUAUCUUAUACCUUUUUAAUGUUACCAUAUUUACAUUGGUCUAGUUGUUGACAUAUUUUCUUUGUACAUACAAAGAGUGAGUUAAUUUUCAAAAGGUUUUCAAAUUUUUAAAGAGUAAAAUCGAACAUUAAACAAAAUUUAGCUAAAGUAAAAACGUUUUCCUUAAUGAUUUUUUAAAUAGGACAAAAGUGAUUUUUAAAAAAAAAAAAACAAGAAAAGGAAUUUACCUUUAGGUCCUCCAUGACCAUGAUCUCCAUAAUAUGGCAUAGGAUCUCUCUUUCUCUUCUUCUUCUUUGAACAAACUGCAAUUACUGAUAUGAGAACAAUUAUGAAAACCCCCACUCCCACUGCCACUCCAAUUAUAAUCCCCGGGUUGAUUUCCGAUGGCGAUGAAUCCUUCUCAGAGGACGGUGUUCCUUGUUGUUUAGCUGGCGAUCUUGGUGAUGCCUUUCCUUCCGGCAGAGCUGGUGGAGAAA
rnacentral:lncRNA from 1 species